UGGAGAUGAGGUACAUACAAUGUGGAGAGUGGUACGAACAUUGUAAGAUAUGGUACUAACAUUUUGAGAAGGGGUACGAACUUUGUGAGAGAAGACACAAACUUUGUAUGAGAGGGUAUGAACUUUGUGAGAUUAUGUACGAAACAUUGUGAGAAAUGGUACGAACAUUGUGAGAAAUGGUUCGAACAAUGUGAGAAAUAGUAUGAACAAUGUAAGAUGGGGUACGAACAUUGUAAAAGGGGUUAUGAACUUUGUGAGAAGUGGUAGAAACAUUGUGAGAGAAGGUACGGACAUUGUGAGAUGAUGCACGGACAUUGUGAGAUGAUGUACGAACAUUGUGAGAUGAGGUACGAACAUUGUGAGAUGUGGUAUGAACAUUGUGAAAUGUGGUACUAACUUUGUGAGAUGGUGUACGAAACAUUGUGAGAGAUUGUACGAACUUUGUGAGAUUUGGUAGAACUUUGUGAAAGAUGGUACGAACUUUGUGAAAUGGGGUACAAACAAAUGUUGCGCAUGCACCAAUCCAUAAGCACUGACAAAAAGUGGGUAUAGAGUUGUUGGUUCGUACAAUAUGAUAUUCAAAUGAUGAUCAAACUGACCCAUAUCUCACAGUACUCCGGAUUCCUCUGGACAUCCCUUUGUGCAAGUACCUAAGGCAUGAAGGAAGUAGAGGUGGGUUGAGCACCAACAGUACGAACUUGUUAUGCGUGGAGGAAGAAAGGGGUUGAAGAAUGGUGGAUCCGAACUGCAGAUACGUUGCACCCGUAGACAGAGGCAACAUUCCAAGGUCCAGCUUUACAGGCUAUUUGUUGCCUGAUCCAUGUUAUUAUUAGCUCAUCAAUUGUGUGUGUGUGGGGGAGGGGGGGGGGGUUAACGAUUUGCGUAGUGCUUCUUCAAAUUACCCACUAAAAGAUAUGUUAUCAAUGAUGGCUUUGAUGAUAUUACGGGUAUCAAAGUUUCCCCUCAACCUGUAUUCAUAGCCAACAAACAUUAAGGGCUACCUAACUUCUCGAGAAAAUCCAAAUUUAAUAAAUCAAAGGCGAGAUGUUGCACAUGGUAUUAGUCCUUCCAAACAUUGAAAGACCCAAUUCUUUGAGAAAUGUUGAAAGUUUUCCACCUUUUGUGCGGCAAUCAAACAUUCUUUUUGUUGAUGGGCUUCCAAAAUACUGUACCAGAUGAGAAGCUGGUCAUCUUUUCCUUCCAUUUAUUGACUUUAAAGGAAUCAAAGUUGUUCAUAAGGAGCCCAUAUGUAAUAGUGGAGAUAAAGCCAUGGUUUUGUGUUUUGUUGAGUUUAAUGAUGCAAGAUGUUCUCGGACUGCUUUGGAAGCCCUUCAAGGCUACAUAUUUGUUGACAAGAAACCCGACUCCCCUACCUUAGGGAUCCAAUUUGCACAUUUUCCUUUCUCUUUUUUCCUUUUCGUCUGCCAUAUGAUCUUGGGGUCCUCUCGCUGGGAUGAAAAACAAUCUGAUUUGCAUCCAAAUUCCAAUGGGCUAUAAUAUAGAAUAAAAUUGAUGAGCUUCUAGACCAACCAUUGUUGAAUUCUGGGCAUUUUCAAAACAUAAACAUUAUAAAGGUUCUUAUAUGUUGCCUUAUUAUAUUGUUCAUAAGUAAGUAAUGUUGACUCUUUACAAAAAUCCACAUUUAUUUUUUAUUUUCAAGAUCCAUGUAGAAAUAGUUUUUUUAUUUGGCAUUUGAUAUUCUAUUAAUUAAUUAGUAUUUUUUUAAUUAAUCAUGAUAAUUGAACAUAAUAAAGGGCAACCCUAAAAUAAUGCUCAAAGAGUAAAAGAGUGUUUGAUUUCUUAGUUUUAUUUUAUUGAAAGUAAUUUGAUUUUAGGCUUUUGUUUUUUUAUUUAUUUUUUCAUGAAUUAUUAUAAAAUUUUUACUAAAUAGAAAAAGUCAAAAUAUUUGUGUGGACUCGGCAUUUUGCACGAUACAUUUCCACUUGAUGGCGUGACUCCCUUUUUAUUUAUUGAAAAAUAUGAUUUUUAGAAAAGAUUUUGAGUCGUCACUUAUUUUUGUUUUAUUUUUAAAGGGGAAAAAAAAUAAGAAAGAAAAACCCUAAGUGUGACUCUUGAAGAAAAAAUAGGUAUGUAAAAACCUAAGACGGGUUUGGUUAUUUAUCAGGAAGGUAUGAUGAAAGACCGUAGCACCCUACUAAGCCUUAUAAUGAAGUUUCUACUAAUAAAGGUGAAACAAGUGUGAUAAUUGGUAAGGAAAUGAAUGAAUAACAACGAAAUUAUCAAAUAAUAAAAUGAAUCAUGCAUGAGAAUAAACAAAGUGAGAGUAAGAUCUUACCUUAGCAACAAGUAAUAGUGCGUUAUCAUAAAAUAUGGUUAGUGCACAAUAAUGAAUACAAAAUAUAUCACAUGUGUCAAAAUAGAGUAAGAAAUCCUCAAUGGCAAGUAUGCACUUCACUCAAAUCAUUUUUAAAGAAAAUAUCAUAUAUGUUAGGCUUCCACCAAAACCCAAUUUAUUUUAACAUGAAUUAAUCUCAUAAAUUCCAUUAUUUUGGAAUUAUGAAAAUUCAUUCAUAAUUAUUAAAAAUCGAGAAAAUUGAAAAAUUACAUGAAGAUCAAAGAAAAUUUGUGAAAGUGUUUACCUGAAAGAAAAUGUAGCAAAUUUAUAAAUAAUAAUAAAAAAAAAACGGGAUUUUUGGUGACUCUAAACCCUAAGGAAGGAAGAAGAAAAUAAAUGACUUAAGGUGCACGGGAAAGUGGCCAUGCACGGUCAUGCGCACCUAGACUCGGGGUGGCGAGGUUAAGUAGCAGUGUUACAGCAUUCUUUGCCAACUCAACACCGAAAAUGUCAACAUUCUUUCUACGGUCCCACUUUGAUUUUAGUAGGGAAUAUUUUAUCCAUCGACUGAAUCCCAGGUAAAAAAUAAUGACAGCUGCCUCAAAAAUUGACAAGAUGAAAUAGUAUUUCCAGCAUGCUAUAAAACCACACAUAUACUGGUAUCCCAACUGUUUCCAGAAACUCCAUUCUUGGUAUAAUUGUGAGGGAACUGCAACAAAUCUCUCCAUUUUCUUUACUUUCAUGUCCAUCUUCUUCCAUUUAUACUCUUACCCACGCCAUGCAAUGUCAUUCUGAAUUGAGUCAUCGAAAUAAUGUUUAAAAUGCUAAAACAUUGGGUUCAUGCAUCUCUUCCCAAGCCUAGUUGUGGACCUUAUCACAAACUUCAAAUUCUUAAUUGUUUCGACAAGUGCAAGACCCAUAAGAUAAUCAUCAUCACCAGAUACAAGCUUUCUAAUCCCAAGUGAGUUCAAAAUUUCUUCUUUCAACUUGCCAAGUUCUAUUUGGAAUGGCAGUCCCUCAAGGCCAAUUAGCAAACUCAAACACUUUGAAUAUUAUUUCAAUUCCGGUAGGGAUUGGCCAUAUGAAGAGCAACACAUUUAGCAUCUUCAAUGCAAUGUGAAGAUUUCUGGCAGUUUCAUUCCCUUUCUGCAUUGUAGGAACAAAAGCUGUUGCAGUUGCUCAUAAUGGUGUGAUAGUUGCUCCUGCAAAGAGAUGAGGUCUUGGGAACAACUUUCCUAUUCUGAACCAUGUGUUAACUCCUCCUCCAAUUGAUUUAAAAACUCCGAACGCUAGCAGUAUUGAACUUGUAUGGAAGUGCUUAUCUUUGAAGGACCCUUAAAUCAGUUCCUCUCUCUUCUUAGUGAGUUGCUGGAUUUUGGCUUCAUUAGGCGAAGACGGUGGUGCUUCUGUAGGUACAACGGUUGAUGAUGAAACUGGGCAUUGUAGUAACUAAAACCGAAAUAUCUCAACAGUGGCAUGGAAACAGGCUGAUAAGCGAGAUCAAGAACUGUCACCGCCGUCGGUAGUUGCAUCAUUCCUUAGGUUUCAUACAAGUGAUGAGGAAAAGAAUAAGCUUUCAAUGAAUUCCAUGGUCGAAUUUUUAGCUCCCAAGCAUAAAUGCCAAGCGUCGGUGCUGAGUUUGGUCAUUCAAAUACCAGUGAGUCUUGAUUUGUAGCAACUUGCGAAGAAGAUUUCCAACUCUUUAACCCAUUUCUCAUCGUCACGAAUCUUGCAUGCGCAAAGAGGGCUCCUUAAAUAAUUCCAAAUCUUCAUUUGGUUGCCCAUUUUGGGCAUACCUAGAAAAUUAUCACUAUCCCAUGUCAGACACUCAAAAGGCGGAUGAUAUUAGGUGCAAUGUUGAGUUUAGUGGGUAUGAAAGAUGGAGAAAUGGUCGGUUUGCACAUAGGAAUUCACACAUGGAAUUAUUUGGCUUAGGAUUUUGAUUUGAUAAGGGGCUUUGAAAAGGGUUUGGGUGGCCAUGCAUGGCCAUGCAAAGGUAGGAAAAAUGGUGCCAAGGUGUUGGUAAUGCUGAGGCUAAGAAAAGGGCCCAGUGCAACUUCAUGGAGAACAGAGAAACUUCAUUUUUUGUACCUCUUUCGCCUUCCUUCCGGUUGAUGACUUCCACACUUCUAUACCCAAACCAGCCAUUGAUGGAUUCGAUACAUAGGUUCUUCACCAAAUAAGAUAUUACUCUGGUCUUCAACAAAAUUAGAAACCUUGAUAGCGUACAUCGUGGCACAAGUUCCUCCAUGUCUUUACUCUUCUUUGAUUCUAAGAAGUGUGUAGCCACUGAUGAUCGAGGCAGUAUUUUUGGAGGACCAAUGAAAAUGUCAUGUCCAUUGAGCUCUUUGCACUUUAUAUCUGAUAUUUGAUUUUUAAUCCUUGGGUCCAGCUCACUUAUUAGUGUCCCACUUAACUCCCUCUGCUGUACUACCUCAGGGAGAGAGGUGGGUUUCUUAGGAGAAAUGUUCUCCUCAGCACUGAAUGAUAUCUGGCUCAUCCCAUUCGAUGCUUGCUAAUAAUUAUGCCCUCUUGUUUUGUUAAUAAGAUUAGCGAUGCCAGAUUCUGAUGUACCAUCUUUAGCAUCACCAACAAAUAUACAAUUUCCAGUCACAUUCUUUAGUUUAUACCUUGAGCAAGGCUUCAUUUUCAAAAGAUCAUCAACUUCUUCGUCGUUAAUUCGGCCUCUAUGGAGCACUUUACUAAUUCCAUCCAGGGGGGCUGGUGAGAAUGAGCAUCGAAGUGGGAGGUUGCGAAACUGGUAGCCAAAGAAUCCACCAAAGGAACUUCCGACCACGUAAGCAGAUCGAUAGUGGAAGUGUGAGGCUUUCUCAUUGGCAUUGUCAUCUUCCUUCUCUCUCUCCCUAUUAGCAAAGGUGGUCAUGCAAACAGAGACUGUUGAGGCCUCGCAUCCCUGGUGAUCCACGUAGUGGCCAAAUGGAUGGACGCACGAUCUCAACCAAUAUAGAUUCCUGGUUCAGUCGUUCCUGCAAAAGGCGUUCGGACAGGGUGUUCGGACACACCCUCCGAUGGUUUUGUCAACCUUGGAAAGAGAGAUAAAUCAGUUGGCCUUUUACUAGGUAUAACAAGCUUACCUUCCUCUUUGUGUGAAGGUUCAUAUAUAUAGUAUCAGAAGCUUUGUUUCCCUCUUUAAUGGUAGAGAGAUAUUUUGGCUUGUCAUGAUGCCUCUAGGUGGUGGCAGGGUCAUCAUCAUCCUACGGGCGGCUGACAGAGAUCGUGGGAGGUGCCGCGAUUGUCAGAGAUCGUGAGAAGUGACUUGCCGUCACUUCAUUCCCGUCUUUUCACUCUACAGGUGGCGAAACGUGGGCCGUGGUAGGUUGUUGGAAUGACGUGCAAGACUUGCUUACUUCAGUCAAUGAUCCGGACAAAACAUAUCCGGAUAGGAUAUGUCGGUCGUCCGGAUGUGAUGUUUGCGAGUGUCGUGUGCCUCUUCCUUAGGGAUCCGGAUAGGAGAAGCGCGUCACGUGUACUCUUGGGGAAAUCCGGAUGGGAUUAAUCCAGAUAGAAAUGUGUGCCACGUGUCACCAGGAAGUGUGUGCCAUGUGUCAUCAGGGGGAGGGGUCCCUACAAUGCCCCCAUUUUUAACUUGCCUAUUUUGCCUGAGUAGAAUGGGUGGGUUAAAAAAUAAUUGUUUUUGAAAGUGAGGUUACUUUUUUGCUCUCAUUGGGCCACGUGGCGAGCGGGGGCGAAGAGAGAGAGAAGAGUAUUGAUGAUGAGUCGUCGUCUCUGGGUAUUCCCAGGCAGCGUGUCGUUUCAAUGAUGGUGCAGCUAAGCGUUUGGGAUACUAAGGGGCUGUCUCACUAUAAAUAGCAGACUGUGCCUUCCUCUUUCAUUUUUCCUUCUGUGCUUUUCUCCUGUUAGUGUUUUUUCUUUUACCUUCUGCGUAUCUUCGUUUUCGAGUGAAGCUCUAGGGUUUUCUGCCGGCAAUAUUCGCGUCGUGACGGUGACUGCAUUGUGGUUUUCAACCCUAUUUUUCAAGUUUACACUUGGUACGUGCGCUAUUCUUGUUUUUUCUUCGUUGUGUUUGCUUUGUGGUUUGUUGGGCAAGUUGCUUUACGACUGGGAGUUUUUUUUUUGUUUCUAGGGUUUUUUUGGGGGGUAUUGACUGCGUUUUGGGUGUGUUUAGGGUUUCUGUUGCCCCCCUAUGCCUUUUGUGGGCCGUCAAUUCUUCUUUGGGGUAGAGUUUAAGGUUGUGGGGUUGGAUUGUUGUGUUUGACUGUUGGCCUUCUUCCAUGCAAAUUCCAUUUCAGCCCCAGGCUAAAAAAUGUCUGCGAACAAGGAAGCUGCCUUAUCUAGCUCGUCUGGAGAUACCCAUGCCGAGAAAUCUGUGGAUAAGUUGAGUGUGAAGGAGUUUCGUGAGCGCUUCUGCAUCCCAAACGAAGUGUCAGUUGAACUUACGGAUGGAGAGGCCGUGUCGACUGAGAAGUUGAAGGAUAAUGCCAUCUUCUUCACCAAUGAGCAGUUUAAUGCUGGGCUCUGGUUCUCCCUCCCGUCUUUGUUCAAGGAGUUUCUUCACUUCACCCAGAUUCCUCUGGCCUAUGUUCAUCCCAAUAUGGUCCGGGUGCUGAUGGGGUGCAGCAUUCUAAGUAUGCUGUUCAACUUGGACCUCUCACUGCUGGAGAUGCUCUUUAUCUAUUCGAUCAAGAAGGUGAAAAACGACAUUUUCAGUUUUGUCGCCAGCCUUCCAUCCUUGCAGUUGGUGACCAGCCUUCCGGAUUCGACCAAGGGGGCCGCCAAGGGACAUGUGCUGGUCAAGGGCUUAUGGGCGGGUUUGGCGGUGCAUCCGGACAGGCCGUUCGCCCCCAACCAAUCGUUGAAGGUCCCAGGUAUGACUAAAUUACUUCUUGUUUUUCCGUGGUUUGUGAGUUUAGGUCAGCAUUGUUGGGUGGCUGACAUACUUUGCUUUCUUGGGUGUAGGCCAGGAUAAAAGGGGGAAGCUAGUGGAGUGGGUGGAGAAAGCCUCGUUCGACCUCUUGAACAGGCUUUUUGAGAUUGCGGCGGCCAAACGGAGUUGUCAAAUGCUUCUCUCCGCGCAGAAUCUCCGCUCGGUCACCUGGAAGCCCCAACCGUACGUGCUGAGCAUACUCCCGAGGCGGCUGCCCAAAGAGGUGGUGGCUGGGGAGCAUUUUGUUCUUAAAGACCUUCCAUUUUACGCGGUCGUGUGGAAGGCAGAUGCUCGGUCACGCAAAGCCUGUCUCAACAAUAGGGAGGUGAAAAGGCAAGAAGGACUUUUGCGGAAGGCUCUGAGUGGUAAACGCGCCGCGUCCUCUCUACCUGCUAGCGCCUCAGCGAAAAAGAAGAAGAAGAAGUUUGUUUCAAAUAAGGGAAAAGAAAUAAAACUUCCAACCCCCCCCCCCCCCCCAAAGGAGGUUGUAAUACACCCUUCAACUUAUGUAAAGGAAAUAACAAUAAGAGAGCCAGACAUCGCCGUCUUGCCCUCCGUUUCAAGCGGCUCCGGACGUCUCGCGGGUCUAAACCAUUCAGGGCCUUCAAUGUCAGUAGCUAGACGUCUGGCUCUUCUAGCUGAAGAAGCGACUUCAAUAAAUCAGCCCGACUCUCCCCAUCCGGAUGCAGAUGCAGCCGAGGCCUCUUGUGCUGCAGCAUUGCCUCCUACGGCACCCCAACGAAAGAAAUGGGGGCAGAAAGUCAGGGUUUGCCUCCUUGUGGGCCAAGCCCCCUUGCGCUUGUACCGGUGAAGGGGCCAGCUACAAGGAGGUCUCGUUCGGCCCGCGACUUAAAGUCUAGCCUCAUCGGGCGGCUUCCGGAUCGCUUUCUGGAAACCAACGAAGUCAGCUGCUCGUCUGUCCAGGAGGAUCACCCAGAGGGUAGUGGGACGAAGAUGGCAAAAGAGAACCCAGUCGCCCCGGUGCUGGUCCUGGAUGGGGGUUCACCCGGAGAGUCCCAACCGGCCGAGAAUGAUGGGGCCCCAGACCCGGAGGAGGAGUCACUCUCUAAUGCCUCGUUAGGGGGGAGUCCUGUUGAUGACGCAGCUUGCAUCUCCGCUAGCCCUUUCAGCUAUGCGGAGUUGGAAGAGAGGUUGAAACGGAUUCCAUUCGGCUUAGAUGUUGCUAUGCCUUCAGCAAAAAUGUUCGAAGCGGUGGAAAUGGUAUAGUUUACUUCUUAUUUUUUCUCGCCAUACUGAUGUGUUUGUCGCAUGGUUUGUAACUUUGCUCUUCUUGUUUGUGUGUUUUUCUGCAGCUGGUGAGCGGUAUUCGCGGCAUGGCUCAACAACAUGAUCUCUUUUCUGACCUGCUGCGGACCGCUGAUUAUACGAAGACCUUCGUUUCUCAGCGCAAAAACAAUGAAGAGAAGCUGCGCUUGAGACUGGAGCAGGCCGAAGCCAAUUUAUCCGCUGCUCGAGAGGACAACGAGGCUAUCCGGAUAGAGCUUACUGAGGCAAAGAGUCGGGAGGAAUCUACGGACGCCCGCCUGCAUGAGGCGGAGGACGAGAUGACCCAACUGAGGGGGGAGGUGAGGCAACUCCGGACAGAGGUGUCUAUUGAGAAAAAACAGAGAGAGGAUUUGCAGUUGCGUUUAUCAGCGCAAAAGGAAGAGCUGGAGGCUGAGUUUGCUACGAAAGGGAGGAACUUGAAGCGGAUUACCAGAAGCAAGUAGACGAAAUGUUCUUCUUUGGCUACCGUUGUUGUAUGAAGAAACAUGGUAUCAAGCGGGAUGUCCCUUCGAUUCCCCCGGGUGAGGAGGAGAAGCUAAGCGGUAAGCCCUCCCAAUGAGAGCUUUUCUUUUUGUAAUUUUUUACUGCUAUCUUCUCUCUGUAUUUUGUAGUCUGGAGAACCCUUUGUAUAUAAUUUUUACAAGUAUUCAAUAAAACAUACUUUUUUUCAAAUUGCACUUCUAUUUCUUUCAUUGGUAAUACUGCUUCAGACUAGAUAUAUUCAAUGGUCGGAGCAAUGGGGUUCCAUUUAGCUUUUGUAGAUGAUAGGCUCCACUUUCAUUUGUCUUGGAUACUAUAUAGGGGUCUUCCCAAUUGGCUUGAAAUUUUCCCGCUCCUGUCUCAGCAGUAUUUUAGAAAACUUUUUUAAGGACUAACGUACCAUUUUUGAAGCUUCUGGACAUUACUUUGCGAUUGUAAUGAGCGGAUGCCCUUUGUUGGUAGUUUGCCAUCCGGAUGGAUGCAGUUUCUCUUACUUCGUCUGCCUAGUCCAAGUUUCUUCCUAAUUCUGCAUUUGCAUCAUCCUGUCUUCCUGCCUCAGUCCGGAUAGUGGGUAGCCCUAUUUUCAGUAGGAAUGAUUGCGUCCAUACCGUAUGCGAGGGUGAAGGGAAUGUUUCCUGUCGGACGUCCGGGUGUGGUUCGAUAAGCCCACAGGACGCCGGGUAGCUCCUUCACCCAUUUUCCUUUGGCUUACUCGAGCCUUUUCUUUAAGGCAGUGAUUAGAGUCUUGUUUGUGGCCUCUGCUUGCCCAUUACUUUGAGGAUAACACGGUGUGGAGUAUGAAUUCUGGAUGUGUAGUUCUGAGCAGAAAUUCCGGAAAGCGAUGCUAUCAAACUGCGGACCAUUGUCGGCUAUUAUGGUUUGGGGGAUUCCGAAGCGGCAGAUGAUGUUUUUCCACACAAACUUGGUGACAUUUUUGUCUUUGAUGCUAGCAUAUGCUUCAGCUUCCACUCAUUUAUUGAAGUAAUCCGUGGCGACGAGCAGGAAUUUCUUUUGGGCGGGUGCGGCUAGGAGGGGUCCUACUAUGUCCAUGCCCCACUGCGCAAAGGGCCAGGGGCCUGAAACUGGUUUUAAUGUCUCCGAUGGCACAUGUGGUAUGGGGGCAUGCCUUUGACAUUUGUCGCAUUUUUUGACAUAGGCUGCCGCAUCCUUCUUCAUCGUGGGCCAGUAAUAUCCUUGCGAAUGGGCCCUAUGCGCCAGAGAUCGUCCUCCAGAAUGAUUUCCACGUAUCCCUUCGUGUAAUUCAGCUAAUACAUAUAGCGCCUCUGAAUGGUUUAGGCACCGAAGGUAGGGACCUGUGAAAGAACGUUUGUACAAGUGCCCCCCAAUCAGGGUGAAACGGGCGGCUUGCACCCGGAUUUUGUGUGCCUGCUUGGGAUAUUCGGGCAGAGUGCCUGUCCGGAGGUACCCUAUAAUGUCGUUCGUCCAUUCUUGGUCGUCUGCUUGUUUUGCCUCAAUGGUGUUGCAAGUGGAAGCUUCCAAUACGGAAGGGUUGGCUUGCACAUGUAUAAGCAACAUUAUGGCUUCUUUGAUGGGGAGGGACACAGCUAUGUCUGCCAAGGCGUCGACGCGCCCAUUUUCAAUUCGUCUGAUUUUUUCGAUCGUCCACUCGAUGAAUCGUUGUAAGGUGUCCCUUACUUUAGUUAGAUAUCGCGCCAUGCGCGCAUCCUUAGCCUCAUAUUCCUUCUGGACGUGUCUUACCACGAGUUGGGAAUCACUAUAGAUCCGGAGCUUGGAGACGGAUAGAGUCAGGGCGAGGUCCAAUCCGGAUAGGAUGGCCUCAUAUUCCGCUUCAUUGUUAGAGGCGGGGAACCCCAGCCAAAUGGCUUGCUCCAAAUGUUCUCCUGUUGGGGAUUGCAACAGGAGCCCUAUCCCGGAUCCUGAUGAUCGGGAGGUUCCAUCGACUCGCAAAGUCCACCACUCUUUUUCACUUGGUUCCUGGCAUUGGCUAGGCUUUCGGGAGUAUUCCAGCACGAAGUCAGCCAUUACUUGGCCUUUCAUGGACAAUCUGGGUUGGAACUCGAUCCCAAAUUCGCUCAAUUCUAUGGCCCAUUGAAGCAUUUUUCCGGUUAAGUCUGGUUUGUACAGAAUGUUACGAAGGGGUUGUUCAGUUAGCACGACCACCGGGUGGGCUUGGAAAGAGGGGCGGAGCUUCUGGGCGGCACUUCGAAUGGCUAAGGCCGUUAGCUCCAUUUUUGAAUACCUAGUUUCUACGUCCGCCAACGCUCUGUUGACGUAGUAGAUAGGUUUCUGCUCCUUGGGUGAGGGGCAGCGGAAUAGAACAGCACUGAUCGCCCACUCGGACACAGCCAAAUAUAUGUACAAUUUUUCUUCAGGGAUGGGGCUGCUCAGGAUGGGCGGUUGCAUAAGGCAAUGUUUAAUUUUUUCAAAAGCGUUUUGACAGCUGUCCGUCCAUCCGUUUGCUCUAGCUUUUCGUAUUGCCAAGAAGAAGAGUCGCAGUUCAUCAGUGAAGCGGGCUAUAAAACACCCUAGCGCGACGAGCUUGCCUGUGAGGCGCUGUAAUUCCUUCUUGCUCCUGGGGGGUGGUGUUUCUAUGACUGCCUUGACUUGAUCCGGGUUGACCUCUAUCCCUUUUUGGCUGACCAUAAAUCCCAGGAAUUUGCUAGCACUUACGCCAAAGGCGCAUUUAGAAGAAUUUAACUUCAUGUCAUACUUCCUCAAGAGGUGGAAAACUUCUUGCAAGUGGAGGACAUGCUCCUCUUGGGUUUUUCUUUUAACCACGAUAUCGUCAAUAUAUACCUCUACUGUGCGGCCGACCAGAGGUUUGAAGAUCUUCGUCCUCAAUCUUUGAUAAGUGGCGCCAGCGUUUUUGAGUCCGAAUGACAUGACUUUAUAGCAAUAGAGACCAUGUGGCGUUAUGAAGACUGUUUUUUCUUCAUCAGCCGGGGACAUGGGGAUUUGGUGGUAUCCGGAGAAGGCGUCCAAGAAAGAGAGCAUCCCUUGCCUAGCAGUGGAGUCCACGAUUUGAUCUAUCCGAGGCAAAGGGAAACUGUCUUUUAGACAUGCAUUAUUAAGGUUGGUAUAGUCAACACACACCCGUCAUUUGCCUUUUUUUUUUUGUACCACUACUACAUUUGCCAACUAGUUCAGGUAAUCCACUUCUUUGAUGAAUCCGGCUUCUAGCAACUUGUCAAUCUCAUUUCGGUUAAUUUUUUGUCUGUCCGGGUGAAAACGCCUAACCCUCUACCGGAUGGGUUUGGCUGUUGGCAAGACGUUAAAUCUAUGAGAGGUAAUGGAGGGAUGAAUUCCCUUCAUAUCAGAAUGUGUCCAUGCGAAGACGUCAUGGUUUUGUCUAAGGGCGUUCUGUAUGUUCCGGGUCUCUUCUGGUGUCAGGAGGGAACUGAUAUCCGUAAGAUGAGUACCUUAUUUCGAAAUUUGGAUUGCUUGCAAGGGAUCCGCUGCCGGGGGAUCUUUGUCUGCCGGACCCAAUAAUUGCUAUUGGUUACGUGCAUGGCUGGACUCAGGGAGGGAUGCAUCCUCCUGGUUGGUCUCUGCUUCUUGUGCUAUCUGGUAGUAUUGGCGAGCGGCUAACUGGCUGCCAUAUAGGUCAAUUUGCCCAUCAUUGGUUAGGAAACUUACCAUUUGAUGAUAUGUAGAAGGGAUGACUUUCAUGUAGUGUAGCCAUGUGCGCCCCAAGAUGACAUUGAAGGGUGAUAAAUCUUGUACCACCGAAAAUUGUACGUUGAAAGUGAUUGGGCCAGCUUGGACCGGCAGUACAAUGUCUCCCAAGGAAGUAGUUGACGACCCGUUGAAUCCGGAUAGGAUUCGCCCAGGGUUUUCGAGGCCCGUGAGACUGUGCCCCAUGUGGCUAACGAUCGAUGCUUGCACAAGAUCGGUCGAGCUGCCCAGGUUAACCAGGAUGCGUCUCACGUCGAAGUCUCCUAUCUCUAGGGAUAGGAUGAGGGCGUCACGGUGCGGCUGCAAUAUCCAGGUGGGGUCUACUGGUGGGAAAAUGAUUGUCUCAUCUAUGGGGCGAGGCCCCCCCCCCCCCCCCCCCCAAUUAUACCAGGCCGGAUGGAGUUGAUACGCUUGCGUACCGAUGCGGCCCGCAAAAACUUUUGUCUCUUUCGUUUGGAGUCAUACUCCUCGUCAGAUGAGCCUCCGUUAAUAUAGUUUAUAAUGGCUUUGGGGGUGGCUGGGGCCCUGGGAGCUCCAGAGUUGUGAUUUUGGGAAGCGUCUCUACCUCCGGCAUCUGAGCGGAGGUAUUGCUUUAAAUGUCCCGCCUUGAUGAGCCUUUCGACCAAAUAAUGGAGGCACCUGCAUGUCUCUAUUGUGUGACCAUGUUCCUUGUGGAAGGCACAUCUCUUGCUAUGAUCUCUUUUGGAUGGGUCCGUUCCGAGGGGUCUAGGCCACCUGAAGUCGGACAUGCCUUGGAUCAUAGGGAGAAGUUUCUCAUAUGAUAUGGAGAAAGGUGUGAGGGGCGGCCUUUCCGGGCGACUUGGCUCUUCCUGCCUUCGAUCGGACGGCCCUGGCCGGUCCGGAAGUUUGGCACUUCUUUCCAUGCCACUUCUAGAUGCUUGUCCAGCAACCAAGACUUGUUGGGUGGCUGCUCGCACGUCAUCUUCGAGCAUUGAGUAUUUGUUCGCACGUCUGAACAAGUCGUCCAUCGUCGUAGGAGGUUUUUUAGCGAGUGAUUCGAAAAAUGGGGUGUCUGGACAAAUGCUUCGCUUGAAGAUUUGCAGGACAACAUCCAUACUGUAAGCUUCUACCUGAAGUACGGCUUGACCAAACCGUUUCACGAACUCCCUUAAGGAUUCGUUAUCUUGCAUUUUUUAUGUUUUGUAGAGUGCUGAUGUUCUGCUUAUGUCGAACGGAGCAUAAGUAUUGUCCCACGAAAGCCUCCGAUAGGUCCCUGAAAUUAUUAAUAGAGUUGGGAGGUAGGCGAUGGAACCAUGAGAGGGUCUGCCCUUGUAGGCUGGCGGGGAAUACUUUGCACAGCAGUGCGUCGCUGCCAAUAUCGAGAGUCAUGAGCUAUCGAUAAUGCAUGAUAUGGUCGAAGGGGUCGUUGGACCCAUCGUAUGUGGAAAAUUUUGGCACAAAGAAUCCCCUUGGGGGCUCGUAAUGAAUGAUAUGAGAGCAGAAAGACGUGGAGAGUAUGUCGUCCAGCCUUUUGCUAAUAGAGCCAAUGGGUGGCUCGUUUGGGAGGUUUCUUCCAACUUGGCGUACCGCUGGGUGCGGGUGAACGUUCUACACCAUGGGGGUGACCAUAGGGUCACGGUGCGGGAACACGUUCUGCACCAUGGGGGUGACCGUAGGGUCAGGGUGCGCUGCCUAGGUUGUGGCUACUGGUGGCCUUGGUCUCCCAGGUUCUUGUGGGCCUAGUCUCGCGCGCAUUGAGUUUGACAACUGAGAUUUUUUAUCGCGUCGUCUUUUUGCUGAAAAAUGAGUAGAGUCUGAGCUUUCCUCGCGGGGAGCUCGAUGCAUGGGCGUGUGUGGCUCAUGUGGCCUCACAUUGCAUGUUUCUGGGAUGGCUCCUGCUGUCCCAGGGUAUAUUGACUUUGGUUCUAGCCUUGAGUUUGCUACCUGGCCUCUUGAACGAUGGCGACGGGGAGGCCCCGUUGAUGAAGCUUGGAUGCGUAGCACCGCGUUUUCUUCUCUUAAUCUUUCUGUCUCCUGGAGGAGAGAUUACAGUUGUCGUUUGCUUGCCAACUGUCUUCUUUCGAUGGCUCGGCGCCAUGCAGAAUUAUCUUCCUCUCCCCUACCAGAUGAACGGCUUCGGGAAGAUGUGGCCAUCUUUGCUUGUGACUGAAUCAGUGACGUUCCCACAGACGGCGCCAAUGUUGAGGCCUCGCGUCCCUGGUGAUCCAUGUAGUGGCCAAAUGGAUGGACGCACGAUCUCAACCAAUAUAGAUUCCUGGUUCAGUCGUUCCUGCAAAAAGCGUUCGAACAGGGUGUCUGGACACACCCUCCAAUGGUUUUGUCAGCCAUGAAAAGAGAGAUAAAUCAGUUGGCCUUUUACUAGGUAUAGCAAGCUUACCUUCCUCUUUGUGUGAAGGUUCAUAUAUAUAGUAUCAGAAGCUUUGUUUCCCUCUUUAAUGGUAGAGAGAUAUUUUGGCUUGUCAUGAUGCCUCUAGAUGGUGGCAGGGCCAUCAUCACCCUACGGGCGGCUGACAGAGAUCGUGGGAGGCGCCGUGGUUGUCAGAGAUCGUGGGAAGUGACUUGUCGUCACUUCAUUCCUGUCUUUUCACUUUGCAGGUGGCGGAACAUGGGCCGUGGCAGGUUGUUGGAAUGACAUGCAAGACUUUCUUACUUCAGUCAACGAUCCGGACAAAACAUAUUCGGAUAGGAUAUGUCGGUCGUCCGGAUGUGAUGUUUGCGAGUGUCGUGUGCCUCUUCCUUAGGGGUCCGGAUAGGAGAAGCGCGCCAUGUGUACUUUUGGGGAAAUCCAGAUGGGAUUAAUCCGGAUAGAAAUGUGUGCCACAUGUCACCAAGAAGUGUGUGCCACGUGUCAUCAGGGGGAGGGGUCCCUAUAGAGACCACAUACGCAUGAGGUUUUUGGCCAAACCACUUUGCCCAAGUGCUCAAAUUCGAAAAUUGAGGCUUUUUCUAGGGCCAUGGUAACCAAUCCAUCAUCCUUGCUUCUAGGUUUUGCUAGAAGAAUUUAAAAAAACCAACGAGAGGACUGCUAGAAACCAAACUAACUGGAAGCAAUUUCAUGAAUUCCAGAUUGUUCCAUCUACUGACGCCGGAGUUCAUGACUACAUUGUCUCUGCCAUUUUCCCAAAGUGAUUGAAGAACCCUGCUAAAAAUCCAGUUUGCAUGCACAUAAUAAUCAAAACAUUCCGAGCUACCCCAUCUCUUUCAAUCAUGCUCCCAAAUGAAAACUUAGCAUAAUCCAACUUCCUUCACGAGGAAUACGUCAUCCAUAAUACCAAAAGGUAAAGGAGCACCUAGACGCUUGCCAAUGGGCACAAAAAAAACCAUUUAUUGGCAAUUUCUCCAAGAUUGGUCAGUGGUCUUACAUAAUAGGUCAACAGUAUGAAACUAACUCCAUCAUUGGAUUGCUUUCCCAGCUUCCUAAGGCACUUUUGCUUGUAGCAUUACCUCGUCCAUCAAGCAGAACAAAAGAAUCUUGAGCAGCAUUUCAAAAUUUUAAUGUUGUUUCAGUGUACUCAAUAAAGAAGGCACUAUUUCUUGUUAUGAGAUGCUAGACCAAGCACCGACUGCUUAAGAUAUUCCUCAAGGACUCUUUAGAGGUUAAGACUUCGUAACCACAACUUUCACUCCCUCGGCUUGUACUCUUAGAUGACGAUACAUGAACCAAAACAUUCCACAACUAGAUACACGAGAGCAGAGAAGUAUAGAGAAGAAAAAUGCUAAAAAUAGAGCAAGAAUGGGGGACCCAAGGGUUUCUUAAGCAAAGCUUCAUUUCAUGAGUUACCAAUAGGCUGAGAUGUAGGUGAAUGAAACCAAAUGGAUUUCAAAUGGAAAUCAAGACAUGAUUGCAAGCAUCUCAUGUGGAAUCCCAAAACAGAGCCAAUGAAAUAGGUUAGAAGUCAAGCAUAAAAUGCAUGCAAACAAACUCAAAUUCUAUAAGAAUAUGCAAAAGUUUCCAAUGCUCAUAUUCAGACAUCAAAAUAGAAUCCCAGUAUACACAAAAAACAUAAUGGAACUGUAUGAAAACGAACGAACAUGCAGCUUACAGAAAUCAUACCUGUGUUAUUCCCUUCAAGACUCCUCCCCUUUGGUUUUCCUCAUUUCAAAACCUAACUUUCUCUUCCUAAUCAAAUCCUAGUCAGUUCUGCUUCUCCUUUCUUCUCCUAUCUUUCUCACCAAUACUCACUUUGUUUUUGCUUCCUGUCCAAGCUUCCACCAACUCUACUGCUUACCUUCUGCUCCACUGUUCCUCAUUCUAAAAAUAUCUCCAUCUUAACCACCACCAUGGCAAGGUAGCAGUGUUCUUGGUCAUAUGUCCCAUGCAGCUUGCUCACUCGUAGAGGUCGUCCCCCAUUAACCAACAUGCUGCCAUUUGUUAACAUAUCCUUCUCAAUGCACCAUGUGCUCCCCAAAACUCUACCAUUUGGCAAAAGAAAAUGGGAACAAAAGAAUGGUCUUCCAAAUAGGGGUCUACAAUUUGGUUUUUUCUAAAUGAAAAAAGUAAUGUUAAUUUUUCUUUAUUUUUUAAUGUUCAAUAGAAAUAAAAUAUUAUAAAAACAAACAACAUGAUAAUUAACAUUAUUAAGCACUAUUUAGUCUUAAGUUUUAUUUAAAUUAAGUAAAAAAACACCACAUAACAUUAAUUUUAACAAAUGUUUUUCAAAUCUCAAUUGAUUUAGUUGACAACCACAUGUAGCAAGAAAUUGGACUCAAAGAAAAUUUCUUUUUCUCCAUCUCAAUUUUGAAGGUCCAAACAAAAUCUAAUAUUAAAUUUAAAUAAUGAGAUAUAAAGAAAAUUGCAUAUCAUACAUUCAACAUAAAUAUAGUCUUAUAGAUUCUUUUUAAAAAUUUAAUGUUGUAGGUGCUUGCUCGAUUGAAGCCCAUAUCCUUGGUAAAUCACUGAUCCGAUAUGAAACAAGAAACAUCAUCAUAAUUGAUUUAUCUUCUCAUCGUCUUUGUCCAUAGUAAUAGAUAACUUCAUGAUAGCAACACCUUUUAUUUAUCUUUGAGUUUAUGUCAAGUUGUGAUUGACGCUCCUUUAUAACUAAUAUAUAGGCACAAGAUUAGGGUUUGUCUUACAUCAUGAUAUCAUAAUAAUACAAAUGGAAAUAAGAUACACGUGUUUCUAUCGUAUCAUAUGCUAAUAUCUUCCUCUAAAUAAAAUGUUUUAGAGACAUCAUAUAAAUGGAAAUAAAAGACACAUGUUUCUAUUGUAUCAUAUACUAACAUUUUCCUCUAAAUAAAAUGUUUUAGAGGGAUUUUACACACACAUAAACAAAAUAAUUAGGGUUUUGUCGGUCCUACAUCAUGAUCAUACAAAUGGAAUAAAAGACACGUGUUUCUAUUAUAUCAUAUACUAACAUUUUCCUCUAAAUAAAAUGUUUUAGAGGGAUUUUACACACACAUAAGCAAAAUAAUUAGGGUUUUGUCGGCCUUACAUCAUUAUCAUACAAAUGGAAAUAAGAGACAUUUGUUUCUAUUGUAUCAUAUAUUAACAUCUUCCUCUAAAUAAAAUGUUUUGGAAGAAUUUUACACAAACAUAAGCAAAACAAUUAGGGUUUCGUCGGCCUUACAUCAUUAUCAUACAAAUGGAAAUAAGAGACACGUGUUUCUAUUGUAUCAUAUACUAACAUUUUCCUCUAAAUAAAAUGUUUUAAAGGGAUCUUAGACACACAUAAGCAAAAUAAUUAAGGUUUCAUCAGUCUUACAACAUGAUCAUAUAAAUGGAAAUAAGAGACAUGUGUUUCUAUCAUAUCAUAUACUAAUAUAUUCCUCUAAAUAAAAUGUUUUAGAGAGAUUUUACACAUAUAUAAGCAAAAUAAUUAGGGUUUCGUCGGUCUUACAUCAUGAUAUCACAAUAUCACAAUAAUACAAAUGGAAAUAAGAGAUAUGUGUUCCUAUUGUAAUAUAUGCUAAUAUCUUCCUCUAAAUAGAAUAUUAUAAAGAGAUUUACACACACAUUGCAAAAUAAUUAGGGUUUCAUCGGUCUUAUAUCACGAUAUCACAAUAAUACAAAUGGAAAUAAGAGACACGUGUUCCUAUUGUAAUACAUACUAACAUGUUUUAGAGAGAUUUUACACAUACACAAGUUAAAAAAAAAUAAAAGGUUUCAUUUGUCUUGGCUCUAAUAUAAAUGAAAAGAAGAAAACGUGUGUUCUGAUCAUCGAAAGACAUACUAACAUUCUUCCUUAAAUAAAAUAUUCUAAUAUAAUUGGAAAUAAAAAACACAUGUUGUUAUCAUAAUACAUUUUAGCAUCUUCUCUUAAAUAAAAUGUUUAAAAAUGAUUUAAUACACAUGUUAUAGUUAAAAGAAUUAGGAUUUCAUUGCUGUUACAUUACAAUAUCACAACAAUGCAAAUGCAUAAAUAAUCAUGCACAAAUAUAUUCUAAGGUUAAAAUAUAGAUUAAAUUGAUAAAAUAAUCAUUCAAUCAUGGGUUAUUUUCAUAGAGAUCUUUAAGCUUUUCAUUGCUUUAUUUUGAUUUCAAUUUGUUAAUGAUGUGUAGUGGUGAAGCUUUGGAUUUAGUCUAGAAGGGGCACCUUAUUAAUAAUAGUGUCCCUUCUAUAUAAUAGGUAAGCUCAAGAAAAUUUAAAAGUAAUUAAAUGUAAAAAUUUUAAAUUGAUUAUAUAUAUGAUUAAUCUUAUUUGAUUAUUUGAUUCUACAUUAAUCUGAAAAAAUUUAAUAAUUUAUAAGAACUAAGCAUAAUUUUUUUUAAAAAAUCUUAUACAAAAAAUUGAAGAGAAAAGAAAAUGCAAAGAAAGAUAACAAGUUUGAAUGAAAGGAGCAUUAAUAGUAAAAAGAUGAAAAUUAGGUAAUUUGGUGUGUGGAAUGUGAUUUUCUUUAGCUUGGGAAUUUGACAUAUGUAUAUCCAUUUAAUGUAACUUGAACUAUAGGAAGGAAAUCUAUAAUCAAUUAGUUUUCUAAUAAAAUGAGUGAUAUAAUAUGAAAUAUAAAAACCAAUUAAUUUUCAAGUAUUUAAAUAAAAUAAUUGAUAUAUUGAUAUCAGUAUAAUUUACCUAAAAGCUAAGUAAUGUGAAAUAUUGCCGGACACAACCCAUAACAAGUGGUUUAUAUAUUUGAUUAGGAUUUUGAAUGCGAUAAAUUAUCUCAUCAUUUAUCUUAUGUUAAACAAUGACUAAGAUAAUUAAAAAGAUAAUUCAUCUAAUUUCUUUAUUUGUAUCAUCUCUCCCUCCCUCUCAAGUAUAAAUAUAAUAAUUUGAAAUAUAAAAUAUACAUAUUUUAUAGAUCAUAAAUUUGUUUCCCUCGUCAAAUUUCUCAUAUUAUUUUUUUUAAAUUGAUUAAGAAAAUCAAAUUUUAAAAUAAAAACUAAAAUUUUAAUUCAAAAAGAAAAUAUAAAAACAUAUACAAAUAAUAAAAUAUAAAAUAAUAUGAUUAAUUUUAUUCACCCCAUUAAGUUUAAAAUCUUAUCAAAUAUCUCUUUUAUUAUUUAUAUUUCUUAUUUUCACUCACUACUCUCCCUCUUGAAUUUUAAAUAUAUAGGGGAUUAGAUAUAUUUAUCCAAAAAGUCAGAGUGGUGAGUAAAAUUAAUCCAAAAUAAUACUAAUAUACAUAUUUAAUAAUUCUAUAUUUAAUAACAAGAUUUAAUCAUUUCUAUUUAUAAAUUUUAUAUAUUUUAAUCACAAAUAUUAUAAAUAAAAAAAUAAAAAAUACUUAUUGAAUUAUAAGUUGUAAAUUCAUUUCACGUAAAGAAAAACAAAGGAGGAAAUACAAUUUUGAAGUAAUUUUGAACUUAUUAAAUUCAAUCCAACAACCCCAAAAGAAUCACAGCUUACAAAAACAAUUCCGGUCAAUAGCAUCUAUUUCAAUUUCAAUUUCAAUCAAGCAAAUUGAACAAUGCUUUAAUGAAUAGAAUAAUCACAACUCACUUGUUUCCAAAUGCUUCUCUCAUUUUGGUUUUAAUACAAAUUAUAUUAUGUUUUUUAUUUAAAUAUUAACUCUUAGAUGGUGUUUAUUUUUUAAAAAAUUUUAAAUAAAAUUUUAAUAAUAUUAAAUAUUAGAUGAUUUAUUUUUUAAGUAUUUUAUUUCUAUUAAAUAUUAAAAAAUAAAAAAAUAAAAUAUUAUUUAUUUAUUUAAAAAAAUUAGGUAUUUUAGUUUUUUUAUUUAAUAAAAAAUUUAUAAUAAAUUAUAAAAUAAAAAAAAAUAAAAAAAAGAAAGAAAAACAAACUCCAUUCUAAAAACAAAUUACUUUCAUCUAAAAAAACAAAUACCUCCUUACUCCAACAAAAUCCUUUGAAAAUGUGCACUAGAAAAUACAUCAAUUAAUCUGCAAAGAGACUAAACAACAUUAAAAAGAAAGAAAAAAAAUCAGUAAGAGACAGUAAGCCGCUGGUUACAAAAUAAAAAAUAAAAACAGAAAAUGAGAGAGAGAGAGAGCAUUUUCUUGCUGAAAAAGCAAGUUUUGAUAUGAAGCGGAAACCAGGGAUCAAAUCAUAGAAACCUCUCUGAAAAUUUUGGGCAUCGAAUGGAAGAGAUGCUGGAUAACUCGGAGUCAGAUGAGAAUAUGAUGAUGAUUGAUGAAGAUCCACUCCAUCUGCUUAUACAGAGAAAGACGGUAGAGAGCAAUAGAGACAAAUCUCCACCGUCAUCUCUCUGUGUAAUGAAAUGGCAUGGAUCCUUUGCCAAACCCUAAACCAGCAGAAAUGUGUAUACCUACUUAGGAGUCCUUUUAUAGGGGGUUUCCAGAAACCCUAGCAAGAUGCGGAUGAUGUCACGCUGCGGAUAUAGAUGGGAUAUGAUCAAUUAUUCUGCUCCCAUCCCAUCCUGACCGUCCGAAUAGCCGUCCCCGUCCGCGGUUGUUUUACCAUUUUUGAGCCGAAAUCAACGCUUACACGUGGUACGAGAAUACAAGGACAAUUGUGCGAUGCCCAUUUAUGCCACACAACAAUCGCCCUCUUCAAAUGAGUAUUUUUAUCCUUGAAGGGGUAAAAAUGAAGGAAAAUGGUUUCUCAUUUUUAAUUUUAUUAUAAAGAAUAUAAAAAAAAAAUACAAAUAUAAAUAAAAUUAAAUAGCAACUUGUAUGUAUUUUAAAAUUAUUUAAUUUUUAUAUAAAAGAAUUAAAACAAAUUAAAUGACUCUUAAAAUACUAUAUAAAAAUGAUUAUUAAUUUUAAAUUUAGUUUUUCUUUUAUUGGAUUGAAAAAUAAUGUAUUCAUUUUAAAAUUAUAACUUAAGAAUGGACAAGGACUUGAAAAGAAAAUGUUAAUAAUAAUUACAAUUACCUGCUUCUCAUCAUAAAGCUGUGAAAUUUAUAACCUGUGAGGCUGUGACUAUGAGCGGUGAGCGAUGCCAUCAUCAUCAUAAUUCCUAAUUGAGGUAGGCCCCCUCGAAAGCAAAACCUAUCAUGCCAGGAAUGCAUCGCACACACCAUUAAACCUGAGAAAGAGUGAAAAUUAAAUCCAUCGCAUAAAUGCAUGCUCAGGAAAAAGUUGGGUAAGAAUGGGCAAUCAACAACAUUUAAUCUCAAUAAUUACAAGGUAGAACAGUUAUCAUUUUCUGUUUUUAAAAUUGGAAACAAAGCCAUUAUUCCCAGAACCCUGUAAGGCUCAAGUCCUCACUCGAGCUGUUUGGUCCAGUCAAAAGGUUCCCAAUCUCGGGCAAAAUUUACGACAGCUUGUUUUUGUGCCUCCGCCGACUCAUGCCUCCGACGGCGGUGCAUGUCUUCCUCUGGCAAACGUAGCAUACCUCUUAUAACAUCGAGGCCAAGGCUGCUUUUGAACUGUUUUUCGUCAUCAAUAACAUGAACAAAUCCCUUGUUUAGGCCAAACUCUACAUGAAAGUAUGGGAAGUCUUUGGGAAUUGAACCUCGCAAUCCCUUCUCACUUGUAUCAAUAAGCUUCUUUGCGUUAUGCUGGCUCCACUCGUCUUCAGCUUCAUCAAUUGCCUGGAGAAAACUUCUGUCAGAAACUUGUACAAAGCCAAAUAAAAAUAAUAAAAAAUAAAAAAUUGAAACACACAAUAUACUAGACUUGCUAGGAUGAAGAAAUGAAUGAACUGAUGAGUGGGUAAAGCCGAUAGCAAUAAACAAGUUAACAGUGGUUUAGGACAUCUCUUAACUUCGGUACUAGUUCACCAUAGGCCACCUUAUAAAAUAAAGUAAUGAAGCUUUAUUAGUCACAGUGGUAUUAAUUAUCUUAUUUACUGUAGAAGGGGAUCCACAGAAGCAUAAGAGAUGAGAAUGUGCCUUAGAAUUGCCAAGGCAGAAAUAAAAUUUAAUAAACAUACUGAACCAUAGAAGGCUGACACCAAAGCACAUAACUCUUGCUGGUCCAUGUUGUAUGCAAUUUUCAUUCUUAAUGUUAUCUUAUGUUGUUUCACCAAAAGACGGGAUUUUCAAAAGAAUGAACAAGGAAAUUUUCAGCACUUGUUGGAUAUUAUGAUUGUAAAGGACAUCACAAAUCAACAAGCAAGCAGAAUAAUUGACUAAUUGACAUAUUAAAGGAGAAAAUUAACAUAAAACUAACCUUUUUAAAAUAAAGAGGAGCUUGUUUUGCAGUUUCUCGGGGCAAUGGGAUGCACUCAACCAAACAAUGACGGCGUUGUUGUGCCAAACCCAUCACUGUUUCAAGAAACACUAGAUCCUUCUCUUGUUUCGCAAACAUCAUUAUUAAGCACUUCUUGAAGUUGCGAAUUUCAUCCCAUACAUUAUUGUCUAGUGUUCUUGUAGAAGAUUCAUGCUGCAGAUUAAAAAGGGAAAAAAAAAAAAAAAAAAGGAUCCAUCAGAAUAAAAGUUAUAACAAGGACAUCAGGGAAAAAGUAACUCUUGAGUUAAAAUUAAUCAUGAUAUCAUGUUUUAUAAGCAUUUAAAUCAAAUCCAGUUCACAUUCACGCAUUUGAAUGACUUCAUCUUAUGCAUAGAUACAUUUUUAGGAUUUUAGGAUCCAGGAAAAAACAAUAUUCACAUUUUUAACUAUUUGCGUAUGGCUUCAUUUCCUUUGGCAAAAUUGAAUUUUGCGUAAAUGAUGAGUUGAAGAUCCAUAAACAACAAAACAUCCAAUUCGUAAGCAAGCAUAAGUUGUUCUACAUCAUAGGAUAAAGAAAUACACUAAUAGAGAAGGAACUAUAUAAAGCUAACCUGCAUUGGCAAAAUACAACAGUGACCUGGUACGACAGGUUGCCACUGGGGUAACAUCAAGUAUGAGAAAUUAGCAAUUGCAACAACCAGAUGUCUUGGCCUAGUGGGAUUCUCGAAACAGAAUUGGCAGCGCUCUUGCUGAGUCAAGAUACGAUUUGCAAAGUUAUUCUUCUCAGUUAACUUACGGUCAUUACCCCCUUCCUUUUUCCUGGUCUUUCGACUUGGAGCAUCAUCAAAAUCAUAUUCAUCAUCUGCUCGGCUUGACAUGUUAUACUGUUUACUCUGCAUUAUCUUUUGAGCUAGAUGCAAAUCGGCAUCAUCCUCCUUCCUCUUUCUCCGAACAGAUGAAUCAUGCAUUACAUAUCUAAAUCAAAGAAAAAAAUAAUUACCACAGCAACAGAGUCUAAGAAAAUAAGAGUAAGAAAAAGAUAUCAUAGCACAUGAGUGCAGGAGAUUGAGAAAUGAAAGUGAGGAAAAUUUAAGAAACCCAAAUUUUGAAAAAGAAAACUGGAGAUAAAUUCCAUUUGAUAAGAAAUGAAAAUUCUAAAAAGCAGUAUCUUAACUGCAAUUUUAAGAUCUUAAAAAAAAGGAACAGAUUUCAGAUGCAAGAUAACCUGCUUGUGCCUCCCCCACUUCGCUCCCCAGUAUUUUCCUCAGUGCCCUGCUUCGCUUUGAUGAUCUCUGUUUGUUUCUAACAAAAACAAAUAAGACAAAAUAAUUCCAAUUAAUCAUGGAUGGCAAUGCACUAGCUCCAAAUAACUAACUCAUAAACAACCAACACCCCUGCCCAGAAAAAGUCAAAAAAAAAAAAAAACACCAAAAGAACAGACUCGCAGAAACUUCAAGGGGAAAAGAAAAACAGAAAACAGAAACAGCAUUACAUACUCUGUUGCCCUGCAACAAGGGUGCCUACAUCCAUUGAAAUAAGUCCACAAUAUAGAUGCAUAUUUUUGUUACUAAUUUAAACAGAGAAGUUAAAAAACACAUUCUGCAUUUUUCACUAUCUUACAUAAUUGUGUAAACACACACACAAGGAGGGAGAAAUAUGAUAAACUUGAUAUAAAACCUUGAAUAAAAAGAAAUGCCAAAGGGACAGGACUGUCUCACCAAAAGCUCCUCCGCUUCUUUAUGCUUUCCUUCCAUACGUAGCCGCAAAGCCUUUGCUGCCAACUGGUUUGCACUCAAUGCCUGCUUACUAGCCUCACCAGGUUGGUUUGUUUCUAAAGAAACUGAUUUUGACAUAACAUCCCCCUCGCAAUUUGCAUAUGAAGAGCCAAGAGGACCACCAGUAUCAAUGUUCUGCCGAUGCACAACUUCAUGCAUAAAGCUUCCAUCAUUGGCAAACUUAUUUAAGCUGGCAACUGCAUCAGAGAUAAGGCCAACAUCCUUAGUAGACACAUUUUGACCUUUCCGCUUUCCCCAGGAUAAAGAGUUGUGAACUUUAGGUGCUUUCAUUUCAGGAUUACGGACAGACACAUCCUUCAAGUACUCUCGGCCAGAAUUCUAGAAAUCACAAUAACAUAACAUGUAAGCAAGAAGAUAUUGCUUAUCUUUCAGUCAAGAAUAUGGCAAUCAUUUGGUGGGAUGCAAAUUUGGCCAGAUGGCUUGAAGCCUGAUUGGGGCCCAUAAAAAAUUUUGGCCAAAGCCCGGCCAGACCCAAGUCUAAGCUGGGCCCGACCAUCCUAGGGCUGGGCUUAGGCUGUUUUUUAACGCCCAAGACUGGGCCAGCUAGUGCCCAUCUAAAUAUCAGGUGAAAGCCCAGUCUAACCAUCCUAUGGCUGGGCUUGCGAUGCUUUUUCAAGCCAGAGUACAGCCCAUGGGCCAGUCCAAUCAUUAAAAAUUGAGUCCUGGCCUUAAUCCAGGCCCUUAAAAAGGACUGUUCAAAAGAUAUUUUACCUAAAUAUGGUGUUCCAUGGUUUUGAUCCCCUUCAAACACCUCAGAAGUGUCAACACUAAAUUUGGAUUGGCCCAGAAGCCCAGCCCAAGAGCCCAAUUAGGCCAGCUUAUGGCUGGGCCUGGGAUAGGAAUUUAAUUUCCAGUCUGGACUGAGCCCAGCGUGCAGCCUGCAGCCCACCUGGGUCUAGGCAUGGCCAGCCUGAGCUCAUCUGCAGCUUGGCCCAUUUACAUGCCCAGACAUUUGCAAAUCCUACAAGUCCAAAACUGUGCUCUCAACAAUUUCCAAGUACCUUUUCAGAAUCCCUCUGGUAAUCUUGAAUGGGUGUUUGCUGUUCCUGUGUUAGCCCCUUCUUUCUACUUUUUAUGGCAUGCAGAUGAGCACGAGAUGGGGCAGCUGCAUGAGAUGCCAAAGAAACAGUCAACUGACCAAGAGAACCCCAUCGUUCUUCAACAACCUAUACAAGUUUAAACAUAACAAACCAAUCACUAAAGAUUGAGGUAAUGUGUAUUGAGAUCUGAAAAGCACAGUACAAACCUCGUCAAACUUUCGUCCUUCACGAGCUGCUUGCUCUUGUGCACGCUUCAAGGCUUUCAUUCUCCAGCUUGCACCUCCAUCUCCAACAACUGAAGAAGACAACAGUCGAUUCCCACCAACCUUUGUCCCAUCCAUUUCUUCUGGAUAACCAUUCCCAUCAUCCUUUAGAUAGGGGUUUAAUUCUCUGGGAUUCACUUUCAUUGUCUAAUAGACAAAACAAAUCACAUGUAAAUAACAACCACAACUUUCUUAACUAGUGUAUUAUGACAGGUGGCUAACCAAGCAUAGAUAUUAUGCAAAGAAGACAUGCAGGACAACAUCAUAAAUCAUAACUUGGUGUCAACAUGGAGUUGCCUAUUUUACUCCUCAAUUUUCAAAGCCAACUAAAAUACAAGUUUCUUUUGGCUAAACAAGAGAGGGAGGGGGGAGGCAAAAAAAAUCUUUACAUAUGGGCAAGGUAUGGUAUUUAUAAUUAUGGAUAAUUAUUAUUUCUUUUGUUCAUUGACUCUAUGAUAAAGCAGCUGGCUUAAAAAGAAAUUUCUGGCUCCAACACUAGCAAAGGCCAUGAUUAAUUAAUGAAGUAAGACAAUGAGGUAUGGUAUUUAUAUUAGUGUGUAAGUAAAGGUUUCAUGUCUUCAUAUUUCUAUAUAAGUUGUGAGUGAAGGCUUUAUGUUUUCAUAGAUCUCUACUAGUAUGCAGUGCAAAUCAUUGCAUUGAUUUCUAUCGUGAUCGAUCCAUCAACAAUUAUAAUAAUUAAGAUUGAGAUCUUCUCAAGGUUCAACAUGCCAUAAGUGUUGGCAAAGUAAUAACCCAAAAUGAGAUCUAGCAUUUUCUAAUAUAAUCCAAUUCCAAAUGAGCUCCACCCAUAUUCUAUGUUAAGAUUGUCGAAUUGGAUGGCUUAGACAACCUGUUGGGCAAAUUCUAUGACUGACAGUGUUGUAUUACCAAAACCUAGAAGGCUAACAGCAAAAAUAAGUAAACAUUUUCUAGUUUGAAUAAGCGCAUUUAGGAUUGGGUUUGAAGUUUUCAGUUGGCUGCAAAAAGAUAAGUAUGAAGAAAAAUAUUGUUCAUUUUGGAUUCAUACUUGGUAUGCACAUGGGUAAGUGCCCUCUUCUUUUGUUAGGCACUUGCACUAAUACAUUUGGCCUAUUUUUCCUAUAUAUAUUGUUCAUGGCUUGUUCAUUUACAAGCCAUGAUUACAAGGGGACUUCUUGUUUUAAUAGAUAUAUCUGAUGCAAAUUCCAUGUAAUGUAUAGCAUGCAACACGUUAUCCAGUUUCAGGGUCUGGCAAAAUGGGGUGGUCAUCUCUAGUACUCUUCUAAUUAAUUUUCAAAGUUUGUUUGGGCUCCAUGUCAAAGAAAAUCAAAUCACUAAGUUAAAGAAUUGUCGGUAUUUAAAAUAGUUGAAUAUUUGUGAAUGAUUUGAAUAUUGAAAAAUAAAUUAGUCAUUUUCUCAAUAGGAAUAGAAGUUAAAAUAAAUAGGGACUGGAUUUUUCCUUUUUAGAUUAAAAAAAAGAAAAUUUUAUUUUAUUUUUGAUAGAUAAAGAAGUAUAUAUGCAUCUAUUAAAAAGAGGCACCAAAAAAGCAGUCCAAUGAAUACAGGAUGCAUACACCCAUCACCAAAAGGUUCAAACAAGAGAAGGAUCUACAAAAAAGGAAGGGCAACAACACCCUCAAGCCUAUAUAACCUAAAGCAAGUUAAUUAUACAAUUUUACCAAUUCAAGUUUGCAAAAAAUACUCUUACCAAUUUCUGAGUCACCUUGCUACAUCAUAGAACUAUUUUGUGACAUUCCAUUUUCUCAAACAAUGUUUCUCUGUAUUUCAUUCUUUAUGAAAGUGCUCCACAGUUAAUGUCAUAUCAAACUCCAAAAUAAUCUUCUCAUGGUUCAAAAUAAUAUUGCUUUUUUUUUUUGACAUCUUACAUUGGAAAAAAGAAAAAGAAAAGGAAAAAAGAAGAUUUGAAUCUCAUCCCACAGCUUUUAUAUGUUAGCUUAAUUGUCUACCAAAUAUGUUGAUGAAUUGGUGCAUCCUCAAUCAUUUUCCCCAGUACCAUACUUAAAUUUCAGAAUAACAAUAUAUGGAUGAACAGUAUCACGUUCCAAUUUUACAUUUCAUAUUCCUUAAUGAUUAUUCAUUUUCCAAUCACAGAGGUUCACUUUUAAUUUCAAAUAAUUUUCACUCCUGUGGGGGAAUUGUAGAGAUACUUCAAACACAUAUAAACACUGAUGGGAAUUGUAGAAACCACAUGCAUGUAAUAGUUCAUCUAAUACUAUGUUUUUUCCCACUAGGCUAUAUAUACAUAUAUAUACACAAUGUUUUUAUCCCUUCAUGGAUGGAUUUUUUUUUGUACAUUUCACAUUGUGUUACUGACUAUCAGAGUGAUGAUGAAGUAUUAACUAAAAAAAUGUAGGGAAAUUAAUAUAUGAUCACAACAUGAGGUUUCAUGACAAUUAGAGGGAGCAAACCUCAUCUGCCUGAGGCUCCUCUGGCACCUGGUCAGAUGUUGUUGCAGGCUUUCGCUCACUAUUAUCACUGGGUCGAAGCAUCCAUUCCAGUCCCAUUUCUUUCCUCACAAUCUCCUUGUCAGUCAAGGAAUGAGAUCCUCCAGCAUCAUCUACAAAAAUGGUAAAUAGCAUUGCUCCAAAUAUAUCACGAAGCAAUAAAUAGUUAAUAAGGAAAAAACCACCAACCAUACAGUACGUACCAAGUGACUCCUCCCCUGCAACGUCCUUUUUAGUCCCUCUUUUCUUACUCAUUGUUCUUUCUUCUUUCCCACUUCUGCGAUUCCUAUCUUUUCUACCAGAAAAACCAUCCCCGCCUUCAUCUUCUAAAUCAGAUGAAGAAUAAUCCUCAGAUGAAUCAAGUUCUCUCAUAGUUUGUGGUCUCUUUUUUGACCUGUCACUAGCUUCAUCCCUUGACCUAUCCCCAUAAGCUUUCUUCUCAUUUCUCCUUCUUCGACUCUUCUUCCCGUCUCGCUCAGAACUGCUUUCACUUUCUCUUUCACUUGAACUGGACGUAUACUCCUCUGACGAGUACCACUUCUUAUUCUUUUUGGACCCUUUUCUAAUUUUCUCUAUCUCUUCGUCAUCUGAACUACUGUACCUAGAAAUCUUCUUUUUUUUCCUAUUCUUUUCUUUUCUAUUACCUGAUUUCUUCCUCUCUUUUGUAGAAUCACUCGAUUUCUCAUCUUGUGCCUAAUACCCAGUUCCCAAAAGAGAAAACCAUAAGUGAAAAAAACUGAGAAUCAAACUUAAUUGCAAAUAGGCAAAGCAUAAACAUAGAAAAAAACCAAUUAUUAGCCUAAAAUAGUAUGAGGAUUGGAGGAAGAAAAAGAAAAAGACAAAAGAAAAAAAAAAAAAAAAAAAAAAAAGCAAAACAUGGGACUUACUCUAUCAAUCCGACCCCGAGGUAUAAACUUCACUCCCGAAAGCAUCUUUCUUCCUUCUACUUCCUCAAAUAGACAAACUAAUAGAAUCAAGAGUAAAUGAAAAUUCAAAUCACAAUCUGAUUUUUCAAAUUUGAACAAAAAGUUAAACCCUACAACAACCAAGAACUAAAUACGGUGUCUGCAUUGGAGCUACAAUUUGGUUACACUAUGGAAUAGAAAAUUGGUUGAUUGAAUUGAAAUACGAUUCCAAAUCCAUGGUGAAAUAAAGCAACCAAAUCGUGAAGGCCCAAUAAUGAGCACCCUAACAUAUUUUUUUGAUAGAUGAUGAAAAUAUAUUAAGAAGAGGCGUCAAAAGAGUGGCUUAAGGUAUACAAUACCUAUACACCCACCACCAAAACGACAUAAAAAGGAAAAAGAACAACCUAACAGAAGGGGCUAAAACAACCUUAACAAGAGCCCAACCAACCAACAAAACUAACUAAAGUCAAAAGAUAAUCAUCUAUAAACAACUUUGCCUUUGACCGAAGAGAGUAAACAAAGAAACUUUUUAGUUUUUGGAUCGAAAUCAUGUCAUCAUUGAAGGUCAUUCUAUUUUUUGUCUUCCGCACCAUCCAAAAAAUGUGUAAAAGAGCAACUCUCCAAACCUUCUUGUGCUUUUUGCCUACAAAAGAACCAUGUCAACCCAAUAGAGUAUGUAUGACCAACAAAGGAAGCACCCAAAACACCCAUAACAUAGUAAAGAGCAACUCCCAUUAAACCUUUGUUUUAACACAAUGAAUAAGGAGGUUAUCUAUGGGUCUCUUCAUUCUCAUGGCACAUAUAACAUCAAUUUACUAGAGCCUACCCUUUUUUUUUAACUAGAUCCAAGGUUAAAUCUUGAGACAAAAAGCUAGGGUGAAAUGGGUUAAGGAAGGGGAUUGUAACUCAAAGUUUUUUCAUAAAGUAGCUAAUGGCAGGCGAAAUAGGAAAUUUAUCAAGGUGUUGGAGGAUGAAAGUGGCUUAGUGUUGAAUAAUGCUGAGAGUAUCACAGAGAAGAUUUUACUUUACUUUGAAAAGCUCUAUGCAAGUCCUACUGGAGAGUCUUAGAGUGUUGAAGGUUUAGAUUGGUCCCCUAUAUCGGAAGAGAGUGCGUCUAGGUUGGACUCCCAUUUCACUAAAGAAGAGAUUUCUAAGGCCAUUUUUCAAUUGGAUAGGGAUAAGGCAUCGGGGCCUGAUGGCUUUACCAUUACAGUAUUUAAAGAUUGUUGGGAUGUGAUCAAGGAGGAUUUAGUGAGAGUGUUUGCAGAGUUUCACAGAAGCGGGAUUAUCAAUCAAAGCACUAAUGCCUCUUUCAUAGUUCUGUUACCCAAAAAAAGUUUGACAAAGAAAAUCUCAAACUUUAGACCCAUUAGCUUGAUCACUACCCUCUACAAGAUAAUAGCCAAAGUGCUUUCAGGGCGUCUAAGAGGGGUACUACAUGAAACCAUCCAUUCUACUCAAGGCGCUUUUGUUCAAGGGAGACAAAUAUUGGAUGUGGUUCUCAUAGCCAAUGAGAUAGUGGAUGAGAAAAGACGAUCAGGGAAGGAAGGAGUCGUCUUCAAAAUUGACUUUGAAAAGGCUUACGAUUAUGUGAGUUGGGAUUUUUUGGAUCACGUGUUGGAGAAGAAGGGGUUCCGUCCUAGUUGGAGGAAAUGGAUGAGUGGUUGUUUGUCCUCGGUAUCUUAUGCAGUCUUAGCGAAUGGAAACACUAAAGGGUGGGUUAAGGCAUCUAAAGGCAUAAGACAAGGCGACCAUUGAUCCCCUUUUUUGUUUACUUUAGUCGCAGAUGUAUUGAGCAGAAUGCUAUUGAGAGCAGAGGAAAGAAAUUUGUUGGAGGAUUUCAGGGUGGGUAGAAACAGAACUAGGGUGUCCCAUUUGCAAUUCGCAGAUGAUACCAUUUUCUUUUCUAACACUAGGGAGAAAGAACUGCAAACUCUCAAGAGUCUUUUGCUAGUGUUUGGACAUAUUUCUGGGCUCAAGGUCAACCUUGACAAGAGUAAUAUUUAUGACAUCAAUCUUGAUCAGAAUCAUCUUUCUAGGUGGUUGUUUGUCCUUGGUAUUCCUUUGGGAAGGAAUACCAAGGCUUGUGGCUUUUAGGAUCCAGUAAUUGAGAGAAUCUCAAGAAGAUUAAAUGGGUGGCAAAAGGCUUAUUUAUCUUUUGGAGGAAGGAUAACUUUUAUCCAAUCUUGCCUCACUCACAUACCCUGUUACUUCAUCUCCUUAUUUAAGAUACCCGCUUCAGUGGCUACAAAAAUUGAGAGGUUGCAAAGGGAUUUUUUAUGGUCAAGGAUUGGGGAAGGUAAAAGAGAUCAUUUAGUUAGUUGGGAUGUAGUGUGUAAUCCGAAGGCAAAAGGGGGAUUAAGAUUUGGGAAGAUUUCUCUAAGGAAUCUCGCUCUCUUAGGGAAAUGGUUGUGGAGGUACCCUAGAUAGGGUACAGCUCUACGGCAUCAGGUCAUCUUAAGCAUUUAUGGAUCACACUCUAAUGGUUGGGAUGCUAACACUUUAGUUAGAUGGUCACACCGUUGUCCUUGGAAGGCUAUUGCACAAGUCUUUUAAGAGUUUUCCAUGUUUACUCGAUUUGUGGUAGGCAAUGGGAAAAGAAUUCGAUUCUAGGAAGAUUUGUAGUGGGGGCACCAAUCUUUAGGAUCCCAAUAUCCAAGACCAUUUAAAGUAGUCUUGGAUAAAAAUAUUUCUAUUUCUUCAAUUCUCGGUUCUACUCGUCCUUUCUCUUGAAACUUUAAUUUUUGCCGUAACCUUUCAGAUUCUGAGAUAGAAGAUUUAGAAGGUCUCAUGCGGUCACUUGAUGGUUUGCAUCUAUCACCUUCGGUUUCAAAUGCCAGAUCCUAGCCUUUAUCUUUUUCAGGGCUUUUUUCAGUCAAAUUUUUCUUUUUAGCCUUAUCCCAAUUUUCUAGUUCUCCUCCGGUUUUUCCUUCUAAGUUUGUUUGGAAUUCUCAAAUCCCUUUCAAAGUGAAGUCCUUUGUCUGGUUAGUGGCACACAAGAAGGUAAAUACUAAUGACAUGCUACAAUUGAGAAAACCCUACAAAGCUCUUAGUCCGGAUAUUUGUAUUUUGUGCAUAAAGCAUGGGGAAUCAGCAGAUCAUCUUUUCCUACAUUGCUCUUUGAUGAUGGGGUUAUGGCACAGAUUAUUUCAGUUAGCCAAGAUGGAUUGGGUCCCCCCGAUGAGCAUCUUUGACAUGAUGUCCAUCAAAUUUAAUGGUUUUGGUUCAUCUAAGAGGGGGAUAGUUUUGUGGCAAGCUGCGAGCAUCGCUUUAAUUUGGGUUGUGUGGCGAGAAAGAAACGCGAUGAUUUUUAAGGAUAAAGUAAGGAAUUCAGAGUAUCUUUGGAAUUCUAUUUUUUUCCUUGCUUCUCUUUGGACUUUCUGUUCCAAGGUUUUUAAGGGGACUCCCCUUAAUGUGUUACAACUUGACUGGUUAGCGGUGUGUAAUUCCUAACAAUUGGUCCAAUCUAGAGUGUUAGCUUGUUUUACUAUAUACUUUCUUGUUUUUGUAUUCUUGUAGUUUAGUUUUCUUUGGUGAGAGGAUUUCUCAUCCUUCUCUUGUACCUUUUUUUUCUAUCAAUAUAUCUCUUUGUCGUUUCCUAUCAAAAAAACAAAGAAAAAAUGUCAAGUUUGCACAAAAUACCACACUCGUUAUUUUUCAAAAUCGAAUCAAUGGUUUCAUUAGCAAUAAACAUUGCAUCCAAAAUUUGUCUUUCCUCCACAAACACCUCUUAGGCCUUGAAAACCACUUUUCUUAAUCUAUUGGCUAACACCUUGGCCAACCACUUGUACAGCCCACCUACCAAAUUAAUAGGUGUAAAGUCCCUUAAAUCUUCAACACCCCUCUUCUUUGGAAUUAAAACUAAAAAGAUAUUUUGGAAUUAAAAUUAAAAAGGUAGUAUUCAAGUAACAAAACUUUUGUGCUCAUGGAAAUCCCUAAAAAAGCUCAUCACCUCAUCUUUCACAAAAUUCCAAGAAAAUUGCCAAAAGGCCAGAGAAAAACCAUCCAGCCUGGUGUUUUAUCCCCAUUGAAUCCCGACAAGGCAUCAAAAACCUCCUCCUCUGAGAAGGGCUCCUCCAAUCUUACAGCUUCCUGAGCCUUUAAAUUCUCAAAUAACAACCCAUUUAAAGAUCAGAAAGCAGAUUCCAAAAGGCUCUAACCACUCUUUCCUUAAUAUCAUUCUCCUCUGAAAGCUAAAAACCAUUAAUCUUAAUUUUGGCCACAUGAUUCCUCCUUCUAUGAGCAUUAGCCAUCUUAUGAAAGAAACUAGUGUUUCUAUCCCCCUCCUUCAGUCAUACUUCCCUAGAUUUUUGCCACCACAAAAUCUCUUCUAACAAGACCACUUCAACAACUGAACCAAGCCCCCUCACCUCUCCUUCCUCCAAAGCCCGACCUAAACCAAACCCCCCUUAGCCUAAGGGCCCACCCACCUUCCUCCCAAGGCCUACAAACCCCUGGGCUAAACAAAUGGCAAACACCAACAUAAAACAAGGUGAAGAAAAAGCACUAAGGUUAGGGUGAAGUGGUUUCUCUCUCUAAAAAUACACUCUCUCAGGUGAACGUCUUCCUACAACUCAAGCGAAACAAAAUUCAUUCUUUUGAAAAAACAAAAAGACAAAAAAAUGAUUGCAAACAAAAGUAAAUGGAAUUGAAAAAUACAUGGAUACUAAGGCCCCAUCAAGUUUGGUUGGGCCAUAUCAACCAUAAUGAAAUGGUUCUCUCUCUUCUUUUUCUUUUUUUUUCUUAAACAAAAAAAUAUUUAAAUUACACUCCUCUUUACUUUUAUAGGAUCUUUGUCUAUUUUCAAAACAAAAAUAGAAAAUGUAUGGAAAAUAAUGCUCGUAAGAUUCUAAAAACAAAUUAGAUAUUAAAUUGAUAAAAUUCUAGUUAUAAUCAUAUGAUGACAAUGAUUAAGAUGGCGUUUGGUAAAUUAAAAAUCAAAUAUUCAAAAAUUUAGCAUUAAAUUACAAAUAUAUAAAAUAUAAGUGCAUAAAGUUUUGUACAAAAGUGAAGAAUUUACUGACAUUAUCUAAAGUUUAAGAAAGGAAUUUAGUUGAAUUGUUUAACAACUAAAAAUUAGAGUUUAAAACGAUUUAUUGCAACUUGAUUUUUAUAUUAUUUUUAUGAUUGUCAGCUUCAUGCAACAAUAUUUAUUUAUAAGAAAUAAAUAUCAAAUGACACCAAAGUUCAUAAUGAUUUAUUGUGUGAACAUAAAUGAUAUCAAAUUCAGUGCAGUGUUGAAACUUCUACUUUUCUAUUCUAACAUUUUCCAGUGACAAUAUAUUAGUUUGAUAAAUAGUUAAUAAUUAUAUAUCUGAACACCUUCUAACAAAAUAUUAUAGGUAUAAAUUACACUUUCACUCUUAGGUUUCUGAUAAAUAUGUGAAAACAUUUUAUAAUUUUAAACCUGCUCAGUACCAUUUAUGUUUCCAUAGUGAAAUUAGUGAAAUUUAAUUCAAACCAAAUUUUUUUAUAAAUAAGUGUACAAGAUAAUGUUCCUAGAUAAUUAAUUUUAUAAAAAAUUUAGCCUGAGCUGUGGUCCAGAAUGAAAUCCUAGAAUUCAAAAUUUUCAACAAUAGCAUUGACAGGUCAAAAGCAUCCAAGAGAAAACCUAGCCUCUGUCUGGUUUCUGAGAAAAUGGAGCUAUGAAAGAAAACAAGAUUUUCAUUCCUAUGUUGUUUCUCAUCUUUUGCUUCCAAACAAUAAAAAAAAAAUUACAAAAAAUAAAAAAGCCAAAAGAAAAAAGCCCUCAUCAAUGUCAGUUUUAGGUAAAGUGCAAGUUUUCUGUAUUCCCGAAUCAUCAUUGGUGAAAUUUUAAAAUUUAAAAUUUAAAUGUUAUUUUUUUCAUAUAUUCUACAUAUCUAAACUAAAUAUAUUCUUAUACAAGACAAAAUUCUCGAAUAGCAAAAGACCGUUAAACUAACAAAAAUUUCAGUCUGAGAUGCAAUCCAAACUGGCAAUAGUUCCACCGCUGUUCAAAAAGAAACCCUAGAAUUUUAAACUUCCAGCAAUAGCAUUCCCAACUUAUAAAGCAAUCAGAGUGAAAUCCGACCCUCUGUUUGGCUAGCAUGAAAAUGAAAAAAUACAUAUAUAAAUAAAAAUAGAAAAAAAAAAAACACCAUUUUGAUUACUAUGUUAUCUCUCUCACUUUCGUUACUGCCAAAAAGCCAAAACAAACAAAAAAAUUUCAAACACUCACAUCAACUAAGCCAAACGAUCAUAUGAGUUUUAGGUGAGAGAAAUCUUCUGUAUUCUCGAACCCUAGAUGGUGAAAAUUUUACGAUAAAAAAUUUUCUUUCUAUUUUAUUAUUUUCUGCGAUUCCAAACGGUUAUAUCUAACACGUAAGUCGAUUGAUUGAAUUGGGAAUGGAAAUUGGAACAUUACCUUCAACUCGGAGAUGAACCGAAACGCAGUGUUUGGAGAAGUGACGAUCGAAUCCUUUAUGUAUAAACAGUGAUCUACCUUUAACUUAGAGAUCGGCCUAGAGGCCCUAGACGCAGCUUUUGGACUUUGAAGAAGGGCGAUAGAAUGAUUGUGAGCAAACUGCAAACAAAUAUUCGGCUACCUGAGUUCAGUCUGACAAUAAUGAGCUGAGCCUGGGCCCGACCCAAUUUGUUGAUCUAUUGGGCUGAUUUCUAAAUUCCAAUACAUGUGAUAGAUCUCUUGAUCAAAUUUUACAACUUCCAUGCUUUUGUCACCGUGAAAGUAGUAUUUUUCCCUUACACAUAAUUCUAUUUUCUGAAUUUUCUCAUGGUAAAUAGAUUCUAAAUUAAGUGAGAUAUUAUUAAUAAUUUAAAUUUUUAAUGAAUCUUUUAAUUUUUAAUAAUAAUUUGGAAUUCAAAAAACAUCAUUACAAAUCAACUCAAAAUAUUAUAAAUACAUGAGUAUUAAAUAUAUCCAUGCAAUGAAAAACUUGAUUUAUUUACAAUUUAAAAAAGUUAAAAUUUAUUCUUUACUCGUUUUAAAUAAAAUAUUAAUAACUAUUAUUAUUAUUCAUUUUUAACAAACAAUUAAUUAUGCUUAUGUAACAACCCACACCCAAAGAAAUUUCGGGUUUCGGUGGCCGGCGAUACGAAAGAGGGGGGCGAAAUGUCGAUGGGAGAAAUUUCGCCAAAUUUCGGCGAAAAAAUCUCCGAAAAAUGGAUGCAGGCGAAAAAUCUGCGAAAUCUUCAAAAAAUCGCCGGACACUGCAAUUUAUCGGCGAAUUUUCGGUUUGUAUCGCCCGAUUUUUUUUCCGAUUUUUCGGGGAAUUUCCCGAUAUUUCCUAACAGUCCAACCCACGCACAUACAAACUCUGAUCAUGAUUUGCAGGCGAAGGUUGUGUUUUUUAGCCUGGCUCAAAAAUCGUGGAUUUAGGGUUUGUGAAAUUUAAAUCCAAUGGCACAAAAGCUGUCAUGUGCACUUGGGGCCCAGUUGUGUAAUGCUUAUUAUUUGAUUUGUUGGUUGCUUAUUAUUUAAUUAGGUUGAGUCAGAGUCAUGUUGAGUUGAUUAAUUUAAUUGUUUGGGUCCAAUAAUUGUACGUGGGCAUCAUCCGUUAAUUCACAGCCAAGUAUUUUGGCUUAAGAAUAGGUCUUUAGGUUGGGUUGUUAGCUGAAUAUCAGCGUCGUGGAUUGAGUCAGUUGUUAUUUUCAGUUGUAUUUAAGUCUUUCAUGUUAAUGAGAAAGGUAUGAAAACAGUUGCAAUCAGUGAGUAUUGGAGGCUGUGGAUUUCCUCGAAUUAAUCCAACACUUUCUUAAGCUUGAACGUGACAAAAGCAAAGCGACCCCUAGAACAGAUCCAGAAAACACAGGAAGCAAAAAAAAACAAAGCAAUCUUUCUGGUUUUCCUUGGGGGUUUUGCAAGGAUUUUCUCGGAAAUCAAACGGGGAUGAAUUUUCCCGGAAAUCGAAUGGGGGAUGGAUUUUCUUGGGAAUCAAACGGGGUUGCAGAAAAAUAAAAAUAAAUAACAAGAUUAGAUUAGUACCUGGGAGGAUUGAGAGUGGCAGAGGAAAAUAGGGCCUUUUUAGGGAUUCUCUCGUCUGGAGGGCAACUUCAGAAAAGGGCUUCUUGAUGCCCGAGUGAGAGAAGUGGGUGGAUGCCCGAGGGAGAGAAGUGGGUGGCCCUUUUUAUUUUUAGAUUUAGUAAAGAUUAAAAAAAAAAAAGGAAGGAAACAUUUUAUGAGAACAAUUUUCCUCUCUCUAUGUAAAUAAUUAUUAAUUAUCCAUCUUUAUUUUGAUUAAAUUUGGAUUAAAAUUUGGUUUUUAUCGAUGAUAUUUUAUGAAUUAAAAUUAAUUUGAUAAAAUAAAUUAUUAAUAAAUUUAAUUAUUUAAAUAAAUUAAUGUUAAUAAAAAAAGUUAUUACCAUAUAUUUUUAAUAAAAAUUUAGAAAUUAAAUCUCAAAUAAAAUAUUUUAUUGAUAUUUUAAUUUGGUUCCUUGUGCAUCCGAUGGUCCAAAUUGAAACUGGAUAUCAUCCAACGGUCAAAAUUGAACCUCAAGCUAUGUGAUAAUAUGUAUAAAUUAUUGAUAUUUACUAAAAUAAGUUUUUCAUAAAACUUCAUAAUGAGUGUAUACACAAAUCAUAUUAUAUAUAUAUAUAUCAAAUUCUUCACCAAAACAACUUUAAAUUGUCUAUUAUACUUUUAAUUACAUUAAUACGAUGUUUUUUUACAUUUCCAUGAAUUUUGAUUAAUUUUUUGAGAUCAACAUACCAUGACCCACAUCAACCUUGUAGAUAUUGUCCACUUUGGACCCAAGGAAGCACUCACGGCUUUAAAACGAGUAUAUUUGGUUAAGAGGAGUCUCUACAUAUAUAGUGUCAGGAACUUACUCCCCUAUCCGAUGUGGAACAUCACAAAUACCUCUCUAUGCAAACACAACGUCCUCGUUGUAUCCCACGGGAUUAUGGGGCCAAACAAACACCCUUACUAGACCAAACAAACCCCACACUGAGGUCGGGGAUCGACUCUGAUACCAUUAUAACGAGUCACACUUAACGUUGUAGACACGUUUUAAAGCCAUGAGGGCUCCCUUAAGCCCAAAGCGAACAAUAUCUAUAGGAUUAGAUGUAGGCCGUUACAACUUAUGACAAUGUUAGUAUCCAUAUUUUUCUAACAUGUAUUAAAAUAAUAUUUUAUUUUAAUAAUAAAUAUAGUUUACAAUUUUAUUAUAAUAGUAUUAUUCAUAUUUUGCUAAAAACUAUGUAUUCUUUAAUUUAUUUGUUAUUCCAAAACUAUUUCAUUUUUAAUAAGAUUUAAAUUAAAUUUAACUAAUAUCAUAUAAAUGGAAUGUACAAUGUUUUUACAAAAUCAAAAUAUAAAAAAAAAUUAUUUUCAAAAGCAAUUUAUCCAAACAAGUUUUUUUAAAAAAUAAAAAAUAAUAACUUGUCAAACACAUUUAUUUUUAAUAAAAUACUAAAAAAAACUAUUUUUUGUUUUUUAUUUUUCAACUUAAAAAUAAUUUUAAAAACAAGCAUCAUAAAACAAGCAUUUACAUUAAUAAUCGAAUGAAUCACCCACAAUACUCCAGUCUCCACCAAGGGCUCUAAGUAUGAAUCGAUUGCUCUAUAUCAUCAUAACACCACGUCUCAUUUGCGGUUAAUGUGCUCUCCACUCAAGUUCUAAUCGUAAUGUGGUCCUCAAUUCUAGUGACUGAAACCAUAUAUCUUCCGGAUUGGCUUUCCACUCAUCUGAUACAACUAUCAUACUAUCAACUCCUUGGGAUUCCACACAAGAUGUGAACAGAUGAAGCACUCCGGUUACUUCUCACAUUGUCAAAAAUGGAAACAGGAUCGAGUCUCCAUACACCCAUCUUAAGUAAAAAAUGCUUAACUUGAGGUCUAUCUGCCCUGAGUAAUGGCUUGUACUUCUAUGCAUAUGCCACCAGCAGACGUUGAUGAAAAAACCCAGUCUUACAGGAUCACAAUGAGAAGCAGAGUACCGUAUAUUUAUUGUUGUAAUUAUGGAAAGAUAGCUGGCUUCCUGUAAUUAUGCCUCCAUCAUUUUUCUUUUAACAAAGGAAUUCAGCUGAGGUAAGAAGAUUUUUGCCACUAAAAGUAACAAGAUAACUUCUGAAUCUCAUAUGAAAUGAAACUAAAAAGGGAAAUCAUAUCAACUUCUUAGUGAUUGAUCUCCAAAUCUACCCAGAAGUGAUCCUUUGGGUUUCAUUGCUCUUAUCAUAUUCCCAGCAUUGACCUGUAAACAAAAGACAUGAUUGAGAUGGUACACAGGUUUCAAGGAUUUACAGAAAAAAAGGUUCUGUAAUAUGCCAGAGAACUAGUCUGAAAGUGUAUGAAAAAAGGAAGAACAGGUUAAAUUACCAUCCACCAGGAAUUCUAUAGCCAGCUCCCCAAAAGCAUUUCAUAUUGCGAUAAAGAGAAUGCUCCUACUAUAUUGAAGUCCAAAUCUAAAGCCAAUAGGAGCUAUUUUCACCCCCUCAAUCUACUUAAAAUCAAAUGAAGUGAAAACAUAAUUGUUGAAAACUUAAAAAUGUGCGUCAAUAAAAUUUUCCUAGAACUCAGUUGCCAUCGGAUCAGUUCAGCUAAUGCUAAUUGUGCCUAUUGUGCCCAAUUACAUUUUAUGUAAGAAGGCUAUAGCUCAUAAUAUCUUGAGCUGCAGAUUGCCUUCUUCAGAUCCGUGGGGGAAUUUCUGAGCCAGUACUUUUUUUUUUUCUUCUGAUAGAUAAAGAAAAUGUAUUAAUGAUAAAAGAUUGUAUACCCAAUGUAUACAAAACAACCAAAAAACCUAAAAAAGAAGCGUGAAGGCACAAAAACCAACAAAUGCGCCCUACAAAGAGCCCAACCAAUCCACAAAUUCUAACACCGACAAAAAACUGUCCCCAAUAUACAAUUUAACCCAAUCCCAAAAAAGGUUGAAGAAAGAAUUUUUAAUUGUUUAGUCUAAACUUUCACAAAUAUUGAAGGCUCUCUUCAGUUGGGGGUUUUCUCUGAAGCUGGAGCGGUUAUUCUGUUGGGAAAAAAAGAAAAAAGACUCAGAAGGUUGCUCUGUUAUGUGUGUUCUGGACCAUAUGGAGAGAGACUACAGCAACUCUAGAGAGCAUGAAACUGCCAAGCCUCCUCCCUCUUAACAGUUUAAAAGAGGGAAUUCAUAAAGGCAAAGAAUAUUUGAAUUGUUUUAAGUGUGCUGUACAAUUCAAACCAAAAAAUUAUCAACAGACAUAGCAUAGAUGUAAUAGUGAUGCUUACAUUAAACUGAGGAUAUGAAAGAAAAGUUAGCCAAUCCUGAAUUAUUGUAAAACAGAAUGUAGUCAAAAACUCAUUAGCAUAUUAAGUUAUGAAAAGAAAUAUCCAAUUCUAAAAAAUGAAGCAUUUCAAUCAAAAUAACAUAGAAAAACAUGAUACCUAACCAUUUGCAUUCCUUAUUACUCAACAAAUCUGUAAGAUGGACAAACAUCGAGUAGAUGAAAGAAAAUUAUAAAAAUUGGUCCAGUCUUGUGAUGGAACAAUGGAAAAUCAUAGGUUCAGAAAGCAUCAAGAAUGUGGUCUAAGCUGACAAAUGCAUAUCCAUAAUAAACAAAUAAAAUAGGGAACUUUAUAUAAAGACAUGAUCCCAUAAGAAUGCAUGCUGAGGACAAUGAAAUUGGAUUGAAUAAAGUAAAACAAACCCAUGAAUGAGAGCACACAUAUUCCGUUUGCAUUAUUUCUCCUUAAUCUUACAUGCACAAAGAGAAUUUUUAAUUGAUAUAGGGCAAUUUAUUCACCAUAUCAAGUGCAGCAACUGCUAAAAUAAAAUAUAAAAAAAAAAAGAAAGAAAAGAAACAAACCAACAAACAAGAAUCCUUAUCUAGGAAAGAUUUCAAGCUUCAUAACCACCAAAGAAACCUUACACUGCCAAAAUAAACCUUGCUUUUAGGUCCAAUACAUUUAGUAUAGAAAUAAAUAAUAUUUCAAGGCACACGAAACUUGCUAUGAGUGAUGAAAGUAACAAAGUCUCACAUUCAACUCUUUAACCUGGGGCAACCUCCUGAACUUAACAAUUUGGCAAAAAUCCUACUAUCUUUCGUGGCCAAUUCAACUAAUAGAAACAGGCUUCUCAUGCACAAGACUACCCAUUGAAAAAAAGAUAUAUUAACUGGUCAGAACUGCAUAUCUUGCUCUUCUUAGAAACUGUUCUAUUUUCUCCCCUUUUUUCCUAAGAGCAGAGGAUAGGGGAAACUAAGAUAAUGGAUAAACAACUGUAUUCCAUUUUCUCCCCUUUUGUGCAAAGAGCAGAGGAUAGGAAAAACUAAGAUAAUGGAUAAACCCAAAAAAAUAUGAUAAAACAUCACUUUGUUGCUUGGGCAAGUCAGUUAAAAAGCUUCCAAACAAAUUCAACAAUAGAAAUAAUUUCGGCAAUAAGAGGAAGAGAAGAACUUCCAUAGUUAAGUUAUAUAAUCAAAAUUCAACAAUAGAAUAUUUGAGGAAGGCAUGUUGAACAGCUUCUAUGAUAACAUGUCAAAGGCCACACCAGUGUAUAUGAGGAUUUUGGAAAUGGCAUCCAUGCGGCAUAGAAGCAUUGUGAAAUUUCAAGGCAACAUAUGGUGCAAAGAUAUUCAAUUGAGAAAAGAAAAAUGAGCAUUCCUUAAUGAAAAGAAACCCCAACCAACCUUUGAUUGUGGAUGCACUACAUUACAGUGACCAUAGAGGCAAAUUAUGCCUUCAGAAGCAAUUUAAUUGCUUCUAAACUUUAUUGAGUCAAGAAGUUUAUCAUUUUUGGAUACAUAAAUAGGAUUAUGCCUACAAUGGAGGGAAACUGAGUUUGGUCUUCAACCUAGCUAGAGCCACAAAUCCAUUAUUCCCGGAAUCAUCACAACGGAACUGCCAUUCUUCUUUUCAAUAGAGGCAUCAAUGAAGUCCUGUAGUAAACAAUUAAAUAGGAAUACAAGAAAUGAAAAUGCAUGGUCUAUAUCAAAUGAUAUAUAGACAACUAAUAAUUUAUUCAUCAUUGCUAAUUUUCUAAUUUAAUAGACCAUGCUUUCCCUUCCAAUACAAGUUGAUUGGUCAAUGGACAUUGAACAAAAGUAUUCUCAAGGAAUAUCUCUGUAGAGUGACUCCUCUUCUUGUUGACAAGUGAAGAUAUUCCUUUUUUUGUUGUUGGGGAUGGCAGAAAGGGGGGGGGGGGGGGGGGGGGGGGAAAGGCCCUUUAAAAAAAAAAAAAAAAACCCCUUUUUUUUUUUUUAAAAACCAAAAUUGCUUUUUUUCCAGGGAAUUUUUCCCCCCCUUUUUCCAAAAAAAAAAAAAAAUUUUUUGCCUUCCCAAAAAAAAAAGGGAUUUUUUUAAGGGCCCCAAACCCCCUUUUUUCCAAAUUUUUUCCCCUUCGCGAUUUUUCCCUUGAAAAAAUUUCCCCCAAAAAAAAAAAAAAAANNNNNNNNNNNNNNNNNNNNNNNNNNNNNNNNNNNNNNNNNNNNNNNNNNNNNNNNNNNNNNNNNNNNNNNNNNNNNNNNNNNNNNNNNNNNNNNNNNNNGGGGGGGGGGGGGGGGAAAGGCUACUUAAAAAAAUAAGAUAAACAUCCAUAUUUUUCUGUUAAGAACCUAAUAUGCAUUAAUUCCAAGGAUAUUAUUCCAUCCUUAUUCCUAAAUGAGAUCAAAUAUUUUAUGCUUCUCUAAUAUAGUAUGGAUUUUUAUUAUGGUCACUAACCUCACUUUCUCUCACAUGUCUACCCUUCUGCAUCUUUCCCUUGAUAAAAUUAUCCCUACAAAUCAAAUGAUAACAUGAAGCCUGAAAGCCUUCCUGUGCACAAUAGAAUAGAUAUUAUUAUAGACAAAAGUGAAUUUCUAUCUUCUAUUAUGUCAUUAUCAUUUUCAAUAGGCAAGAAUAAAGAAACUAGAUAGGAUCGGUUUAGGAAACCUUUGAUCAUUCAUUCAAAUAAAAAUAUAUUAAACAAGCACCUAAUAAAAGGUGGCAUAUUCAAUAUACAGAUUAAGUAUACAAGGAAUAAAAACAGGGAAAUUUAAAAUAUAGAUAAAUAUUGCCCCCCAAAAUAUGGCUCAACCCAACCCAAACCUAUUAAUAAAAUCUAGAAAUGAAAGAAUUCCAUCCCCAAGAGAUAUAUCCCACAAUGAGGCAUUUGACCAUUCAAACAACAAUUUCAACAAUAUACCUUUAGGGCAUAGGCCUGGUCACUCUAUCAUAAAAAAGUCCUUCAAUUCCACCUUUUAAAUAAGCUCCACAAAGAUACUCAAAGAGGCCACCUUCCACACUUUCCAGUUGCACUUAUCCUUGAAAUUUCCUUAACAACUCAACAAUGUCUCCUUCACUUCAGAAUGAACAAGAAAGUAGUUAGCAGCUUCUCUUCUUGUUUGCCUCCUGCCCCCAACAACACAAGAGAUGAUCAAGAGUAAAGCUCUUUUCCCAAGCAAAGAACAUUAUAUUUGCAGGCACAGAGCCCCAAAGGAGGAAGAACUAAAAGAAAAGGGAUUUAGUAGUGAAACAACAAUUUAAUCCAACCAAUCUCCUUCCUUUCCUCUCUAACCACCAAAAUCCUGAAUAUAAUAAAGGACUCAGCUAUCUCAAGCUUCCAAUCAUAAAAAUUUAUAGCUAACUCAGAUUCCAUUCAGCACAGCUCUUUUUCACCAAAUUGGCAGCAGUGCUGAACAGACUCAGAAAAUAAUGGUAAAAGAAGGCAGACUACCUUUAUGAUAAACAAUCAAAAUGAACUUGAAAGAUCCUCUCUGACAAAGUUUACAAAAAAUUCGAAAAGCACAACAAAAUAUGCAAAUCUUACAAAAGCUUGGGUCAUAAGCAUAAAUAUGUUAUAAGUAAAGUAAUUCAAGCAGUAACUACCUAACAAUCAAAGUGCAGGAUCCUCCCUCUAGCAAACAGAUAGUUUACCCUUCUCAUUCUUCUGUUGUAACAUAUACUCCCGAACCCGCUCCCCCCUCUCCCUCAUACCUGCAAUCAUCUCUUCUGUCACAUCAUAUAUUUGCUUUGGUAAAUGAAGCUCCAAAUAAUCGAACCAAUCCCCAAGUGUCAUCUUCUCCAAAUCAGGUCCAUCUCCUACCUCAGUGGGCCACUCUUUAGCACCUGACAUACUGGUCGAUGCUGUACAAAUCUUUUCUCCACAGUUAGACCCCUUGACUACCUCCUGAUCUGUGGUACCAUCAAUUGCAACAGUCUCCAUUGGCUCAUCCUGAGUGUUCCUCUUCCUUCUCAAACCCACCCUUGUCUUUUUCUCCUCAAUCCCAAUUUCUACACAAUCCAACUUAGAAAUUUCCGGAAUUUUUUGAAGCAUCAAACUAGAAACCAAUUUAUCUUCCUUCUUCGACGCCCGAGUCCUCCUUGAACCCAUUUGCCUCACGGGUUCGACUCCAACCUGACCAACAUUCUCUGAUUCUAUACCCAAACUCAAACUCCUUUCACGUCCCUGAACUUCACCAGACUCCUCCACUGCCUCAUUCUUCAAAACCUUAGCCCUCUUUGGUCGACCUCGCCCACCCCGAUUCUCCGCCACAACCCCCAAAUUAUUAUCCAAUUCCUUACCGAACCCUACUUCACUAACUGAAGCCAAAUCAGCUUCAUUCUCCUCUUCCUUCACAACCCUAACCGUCUUGGAAACCCCCUUCCGGCCCCGAUUCUCUGCAACCGAGCCCACAGAAUCCAACUCCCCCUCUUUUCCAGCCCCUCCCCGCCUAGGGUUCCGGCGCAAUCGACUUUCAUCGCAUUGGACGAUCCUGACGGUGAUGGAGGUGAACUCGCCGAUCUUGAUAGAGUCGAAGUCGCGGAGAUCAGCGGGAUCAUCGGGUGAGAGCUGGGCGUUGUUGAGUAUGGUGCCGUUGGAGGAGUCAAGGUCUCGGACUACCCACUUACCGGAUUCGAAUUGAAUAGAGAGGUGCUUAGAGGAAAUGCCGUAGUCUUUGAUCGGAAGGUUGUUACCACGGACCACCCUCCCGAUCCGUAUCGAGGAUCCGGGUUUGAAUUCUAGGGUUUCUCCACCUCUGGGGCCUUUCUCAAUUAUCAGUUUCAGGAGUGGACCUUCCAUUGCUGUUGCAGACAGUAUCCGAGAGAGAGAGAGAGAAAGAGCGCUCGUUAAAGAGAGUUUUAGAAAGAGAAAUUGGAGGGAGAUGGUUUUCAAAUUUUGAGGUGAGCUUCAAGAGUACCCACUACCCUGCCGACCAGUCUUCAGCGGGCCAUGCAGACCAUCGUACUGGGCCAGGACAGCCCAAUUCAACUUCUUGCCAUGCCAGCCGGGCCAUGCAAGCCAAAUUGGCAGUAAUCAUCCCGUGCCGUUGCGGGCCGUGCCAAGUGACUUUUUCUUAAGAAACAAAAAUAAAUAAUUGAAGAUUUCCAAAAACUAAAAAGAAAAAAAGAGGAUUUCAUUAAAAAAAAAUUGAAAAGAAAAUUAAGAAAAAAAAAAGUUGACAUUAAUGUCCAAAUUUUGAUUCAGUGAUUAAAAAAUGUUGUGAAAUAAAAUGGAAGGAUGGAAAAGAUGGUUAAAAAAACAAUUCAAUAAAUUCAGUAUUUUGCUUCUACCUUCAUUCAUAUGAAAAUUUUCAAACCCAAUAAUUUCAAACUUCAAUUUUUUUUUUAUUUUUUGCCACAUGAAAAUUUGCCACAUGAUUCAUACAUCAUCACAUGAUAUUUUUUUAUCCGGCAAUGCUUAUAUAUUUAUUGCCUAAAGGAUAUGCAUUUGCAGUGGAAAGAAAGACACUUGAAUUUGUUGCUUUAAAUCAUCUUGAAGUGAGAUUAAUAUAAUAAGAAGGGAUUGUUGGGAGAUUGACAAAUGGCACAAAAUUUUGAUAAGAAAUGCCGGUUCUAAGAGGGAGGAAAAGAAAAACCAAAAAAAAGGUCCACAACCUUUCAAGUCAGAAGAAAACAAGGAGUAGUCCCACAUUGGAAAAUUGGAGAAUAUUUGCCGGCUUUAUUUUAUGAGGUAGAGACCUUAAGGACCAACUUGAGAGGGUGUAGGCCGGGAAUUGUGGGCAAGUGCAUUAUAAAACCCUAAACCCCGAUCUCCACCCAGGGAGAGACAACAAGGGGUUGGUUUAGCCGGUGUUUCUCCCCUCAAACAAAAUGAAACCACCGAAGCCCCGGCACUCCAAAAUUCCCAGUAGAAAUUUGGCCCGCGAGAGGAAUAGCAGGAGCCUGCUGCCUCCGCCUUAGACAGGUGUGUCACGGCUCUCCUCGCCUCUCGCUCACCCUCUUUUAUAUUUUUUUCACAAAUGGAGAGAGAGAGAGAGAGAGAUGGCUUUCGAAGACUCUGUUAUUAUCAAAAUACUAUUAGAAAGAGUUUUCCUAACUUUAACCAUGAAUAUUACUUGAGAAAAAAA
rnacentral:lncRNA from 1 species